rnacentral:lncRNA from 1 species
GGGGAUCAGCCAAUCAGAAAAAAAAAAAAAAAAAAAAAAAAAGAGGGAGGGGGGUGGACUCCCAACUUUCCCGUGCACCCUUGAACCAUCCCGAUUUCAAAUCGGCGAACUUUCGCCAGUUUUUUGUUGAUCACCACCAUCCAUCACCUGCAACAUCUUUCACAUCUUCCCCUCUACUAUUUCCACUCAAAUUUGGGAUUUUUUUUAAGGUCAAAACCUUGUAAAACUGUGAGGGGUGGCCGAAAGUGUUCCACGGCGAUUCUGCCGUUCCGGCGAGUUUCACCACUCAUCACCACCUCUAAUCUACUCCCCUUGGACCCAGGAACAAAGCCCAAACAACCUUGGAGGCGUCGGAGCACCGGUGACGACGAAUUAAAGCACACCCAUUCUAGGGUUCUGGUGGGUUCGUGGAAAAUUGAGGCUCUUCCAGGUCAAAUUGGCCUUGGUCAUAGGUAUGAAAGUUGCUCCACUCAUUGAGAUCUUCAUUUCUGUGAAGUUUGAGAAUUUUUAGAAAUAGUUGGAUUUUCCGACGAGUUGGGGUGGCCGACCACCACCCACUGCGGCGCGUGCGGCGGCACGUGGCCACUUUUAGGCUAAAUUAGAUGUCUUGAAUUCAGUUUUGAUAUUCGUAUAAUGUAGGUUGAUCGUUUGAAUCUAAAUUCAUUACGAUACGUUAUUUGGUAAAAAUGUGAAUCGACGAUCCAACCGUUGGAUCGUCACUAAACUUUAAUACAUUCUAGUACAUAAUAUUUAAGGACCAUAGAAACUUACGGAUUAGGAAUCUGAUGAACAAAUCUUCCUGAAUUGGAUUUGUAAGUUUAUAAAAUAAAUGUUAACCGUCAUUUAGUUUUGGCAAUUGACGGAAGUCCGACCGUUAGAUCGUAAUGAAAUUUUAGUAUGUUAUUCUAGAAGCAUAAUUUGGAUCUUUAGAAGUUUCGGAUUGGAAAUCUGAUAUGCGGAUCUUCCGAAGUGAGUUUACAGGGUUGUAGACCCAACCGUCGAUCUUUGAUCGACGGUUGACUUAUGGUCAAUGGGUCUCAAACUAUUUUAGAAUGUCCUUGAGAAUGUGUUUUAUGUGAAUUACAUAUUCUAUUGAUAAGAGUUAUGAGAUGUGAUUAUGUAAUUGUUCUAGGCGCCAAUUAUUCGAGACGCCUCAAUGCAAGUGCUAGAGAAUCAUAGUGUGGACUCUAGGUGAGUGGGUCUUUUCCUUUUAUCAUAGGUAUAUAAUUGAUAGUUCCUCAAAUGCUUCUAAAGUGAAUUAUGCAUGUUACCUACAAUUAAUUAUUGUGAACUACGAAUGGCUUAAUCCCUAUUUAGGGUACAUAGGCAGUCUAACGAUACGUUAGAUGCAGCCAUACAAUAAAUGAGACUAACUAACUGAGACAAUAGUCUUGUUUAGGGAAUUGAGUAAUGUGAGGGACAUUGGUGGAAAAUAUAAGAUUUAACUUUAUGAUUUGGUGUUUAAAUAUUGGUCAUAAAUCAAUGAAUGAAGAAUCAGGAAUUUGAAGUAAGGAAACGUAAGUAAUGAUGGUUAAUUAAACUAGUAUCUAGUAGGGCUUACCAUUGAUAAUUAUCUCCGAAAAUAAGUAGUUCGGGAGUAGGGCGUUAUAGAUUAUGCAUUUCACACCAUGUUAUAUAUAUACUUGAAAAUACUAUGUUAUAGUUGAGUUUUAAAUUGCAUCAUGACAUAUUUAUAUGUGUAUCACCUAAACCUAAUUAUUGUGAAUGCUUCGAAGUGCCAAAUGAUGUUGCGGACGCCCAGGUAAGCUUCAGGUGAGUACACGUUGAUGAUAGUGAUGGUAGUGAGAUAUGUGAUGAGAUAUUAAUUGGCUAGCAUGUUGAUGAGAUAUUGAUUUAGCCGUACAGUUCACGUGAGGUGACUCUGGCUAGUAUAUUGAUGAGAUAUGUGAUGAGAUAUGGAUGAUGAGAUAUUGAUUUAGCUGUACAGGUCACAUAAGGUGACUCCAGCUAGUAUAUUGAUGAGACAUGUGAUGAGAUAUGGAUGAUGAGAUAUUAAUUGGCUAGCAUGUUGAUGAGAUAUUGAUUCAGUCGUACAGGUCACGCUAGGUGACUCCGGCUAGUAUAUUGAUGAGAUAUAUUAAGAGAUAUAAAUAAAGUUGUACAUGUCACUAUAAGUGACUCUGACUUAUAUGCUAGCAAUGAUUAAUAAGAUAUAUGAGGAGAUAUAAAUAAAGCUGUAUAGGUCACUAUAAGUGACUUCGGCUUAUAUGCUAGGAACGAUUAAUGAGAUAUGUGAGGAGAUACGGAUAAGUUGUACAGGUCACUAGAGGUGACUCCGACUUAUAAGCUAGCAUAUGUGACGAAUAUGUGAUAAGCUAGCAUAUGUGAUAAAUAUGCGAUGAGCUAGCAUAUGUGAUGAAUAUGUGAUAAGCUAGCAUAUAUGACGAAUAUGUGAUAAGCUAGCAUAUGUGAUAAAUAUGUGAUAAGCUAGCAUAUAUGAUGAAUAUGUGAUAAGCUAGCAUAUGUGAUGAAUAUGCGAUGAGCUAGCAUAUGUGAUAAGCUAGCAUAUGUGAUGAAUAUGUAAUAAGCUAGCAUAUGUGAUGAAUAUAUGAUAAGCUAGCAUAUGUGAUGAAUAUGUGAUAAGCUAGCAUAGGUGAUGAAUAUGUAAUAAGCUAGCAUAUGUGAUGAAUAUGCGAUAAGCUAGCAUAUGUGAUGAAUAUGCGAUGAGCUAGCAUAUGUGAUGAAUAUGCGAUGAACUAGUAUAUGUGAUGAGAUACAGGUAAGUCGUACAGGUCACCAUAGGUGACUUCAACUUGGGUACUAGCAUGAGUUAUUAAUCACAUGAUUAUUUGAUAUUGCUAACGAGAUGCUGUCUUGUGGUAUAUUUAUGAUAUUUUCUGAAAAUUAUACAGGUGUUGUAGCGAGGGGUUAUAAUGUUUUAAAUGGUUUCUAUUAAAAUUUAUUCACAGGGCUACUCACCUUUGUCUUGUCUUCACCCUCCAGGUUUUAUUAGCUGAGUUUUCUUAUCGUUGAAGAUUCGUGGCGGUUCUUGGUAUUGAAGAUUAUUUCGAGGGUACAAUUCUUAAUUCACUCUUAUGUACUUGCUUAUGCUCUAACAUUACGUGUGAAGUAGAUUCAUUCCCGCUCACCGGUGUACUCUGGUAUUUAGGCACUCUUAGGUUUUAAAUUAUUCACAUUUUUCCACAUCAUCACACUUUAUGGAUUCGUCACCUUCCAGGUGUCGGCCAGCACAGUUCGAUUCGGAGUCCUAGUAAACAUUCCGGGUCGGGGUAUGUUAUGAGGAGUGGCUAGGUUAAAGUUGUGGGGCAAUAUGUUAUGAAAGAAGCAGAAGCGAGAAUGUCAACUUGAGUAACAUAAACAUUGGUGAUGGGUUCUCCAUUAAUUUUCAUUUCUUCUAUGCAACGCGGGAUAGGUCAACAUGGUAGCUUGAUAUAGAAGAAUAUAUUUUGUGUUUUAGAAACAAAUUUUUUGUGAGUCACGUCGUAUUUUAUACAAAAAAAUGUGGGCCAUGAACUGCUAUUUACACAUAAUCACAAAAAUAAAUAAAUAAAUUCAUGCCAUGAUUAUGAUGUAGCUCCACAACUAUAAGCUUAUCUGGGAUGCAUUCUGAUAAGCUGACGAACUAGUGUACACAAUUGUAUUUUCAUUUGUUCGAAUAACUGGAGUUGAAUUUUGUUUAGUAUUAUCAUGUUUAUUUUUAUUUUUAUUUUUUACCUUAAGUAGCAUAUCCGGUUACUAGAAGCAUUACACAUAUCUUAUCUAUUUUCAUGUAAUGAGAGUGUGAGGCAAGUGUUUUGUUUAAGAAAAUGUUGAUAAGACAACUUUAUUUGGUACGGGAAAGAGAUUACAAACGAAAACACCUAGGGCGUAAUAAAGGGUAGAACUUGCAUAGGAAAAUUCUAUUCGAACCAAAAAGUUAUCAAAUAUUCUAUCCAAUUUAAAUAUGAAUCCAUGAAGUUUCGAAAUCCGAAAAAUUAAAAAAUACUGGAUAAGAACAGGAAUACAAUUUGCAAUUUGUAUAACAAUCUGUCCUUAAUUUUAAGAUUUUAUUAAUUUUAAAUGUGUGAAUUAAUCAAAAUGUUCUUAAAGGUUAGAUUGUUGACUUUCGUUGAUCGUUAUCUUAUAAUACAUACAAGCUACUAUUUUACUGUAUUUGCAUAUUACUCAUUACUACGAAUGUACAUGAUAAAGAUUUUACGAAAUUACGAAAUCAGGAGGUAUUUUAGCAGAUUCACUAUUCUGGAUAAUUUUUUCCUUAUUAUUUUAUAUUUUUCUGGUGGAAUUUUGUGUCUUGUGGAACCCAUACCCCACUUCUUCCUUGUCCCCGUGUCCCAUUUUCGCCAUACUUCUUGGUCUCUCUCAUUUCAAUCUCUCUCUUUGCCUUGUCACUCCAUCUCUUCUUCUGCCACCUUACCACCACCUACUCUCUCUCUCUAAAAAUCUCUCAUCUCUCACUCUCCAUUUAUUUGUCUCUCGGCAAACACCGAAUGGGUGCAAUGGCAACGCCAUCAUCGCCGCUAACCUUGUUACCCUGACGAGAUUUACGAGUUUUCCAGCCCAGAAACUAGGAUCUCAUACUGCCAACUCAACCCAGACAUGAACUUGCGCUGCUAGUGGUCGCUGCACUGUUCACUGUGUUCUCUGGCGAGGUUCUCAAUUUUUUUCGACUAAGGUGUGAUAAUACACCACUAAUAAUACCUUCGAAGAACUCACAGAAAGAUACAGAGAUCAAAGAGAAAGAAGAAGAGAAAGAAUAGAGAAAGAAACUGUAUUGAUUUGUGUAUAUUCCUUACUGAAUUACAAUAUCUGUUAUUCAGUUAUUUAUACAUGGAAUCCAAACUUAGCUAGUAAGCUAUUCACGUAACUAACUAACUAACAUAAGCUGAAUUGGCUGUCUAUCUGACCCUUGAAUGUUGUAAUGAGUUGGCAGUUCAUCUAGCCAUUGAUUUAUGAUACUCAACAUUCCCCCUCAAUCGUGGCUGGGGUACUCAGCCUAAGAUUGUAACAAUGUCGAAGAAAGGCAAGGCUGUGAAGACCUUUUGUAAGAACAUCCGCAGUUUGAUCUUCAGUUGGAAUGUAAACCACCUUCAGAUCUCCUUGUUGAACACGUUCUCUCACAAAAUGAAAGUCAGUAUCAAGAUGUUUGAUACGAGAAUGAAAAACAGGAUUUGCAGUAAGGGCAAUGGCUGACAUAUUAUCACAAUGAAUUAUGGGAGGUGAAGGCAUACACACUUCUAAAUCCUUUAGGAUUCCCCUUAUCCAAGCAACAUCAGCUGCGGUAUGGGCAAGAGCCUUAUAUUCAGCCUCAGUUGAGCUUCUUGAUACUGAACAUUGUUUCUUUGAUUGCCAAGACACGGGAUUGUUGCCUAGAUACACUACAUAUCCUGUGAUUGACCUUCGAGUAUUGAGAUCAGCUGCCCAAUCAGCAUCUGAAAAAGCAGUGAUUGUCCUUGUCGUCAUUUGAUUAGCUGAAUAUAAUAUCCCAUGGUGCAGUGUACCAUGAAGAUAUCUGAGUAUUCGUUUCACUGCUGCAUAAUGCCUUUAUGUCGGAGAACUCAUGAACUGACAUACUGUAUUAACCGCAUAUGCAAUAUCGGGCCUAGUCAAGGUCAGAUACUGCAACGAUCCGACGAUACUCCUAUAAAGCGAUGGAUCAGACAUUAAAGAACCAUCAGAAAAUAGCAUUUGAUCAUGAGGUUUGCAUGGAGUAGCAGCAGGUUUACAUGUGUCCAUACCUGCCUUAUGGAUCACAUCCUUUAUAUAUUUUGAUUGAUGCACAAAGAUAUCCCUAUUAUUCUUAUACGAGAACUGCAAUCCCAGAAAAAAUGUCAAUUGUCCCAUAUCCUUAAGAUCAAAGACUUCAGAUAACUCAUCAAUCAUCUUUUGAAUCUUGAUAGAAUUGGAACCGGUCAAUAUAAUAUCGUCAACAUAAAGGAGAAGAAUAACAAUAUCCCCAUCAUCCUGCUUGAUAAACAAACUUGUAUCAGAAACUGAAGCCUGAAAAUUCAUGGCAGUCAAGUAAGAUGUGAACUUUGAAUUCCACACCCUUGGAGCUUGUUUCAAACCAUAUAGGGAUUUGAUUAAUUUGCACACAUGAGUGGGAUGGGAUGCAUCGACAAACCCUUGUGGUUGUUUCAUGUAAAUCUCUUCUUGCAAGUCACCGUGCAAGAACGCAUUUUUAAUGUCAAGCUGUCGAAGUUUCCAAUGGUUACUUGCUGCUAAGGCCAAUACAAUCCUCACCGUAGUAUGCCUCACUACCGGACUAAAGGUAUCCAAGUAAUCAAUACCUUGUUCCUGAGAAAAUCCUUGAGCCACAAGCCGUGCUUUAUACCUGGAAACACUGCCAUCAGGAUUUUUCUUCACUUUAUACACCCAUUUGCUGCCAACAAUAGAUCUGUCACUUGGAGGUGGUACUAGAAUCCAAGUGCCUUGACUUCGAAGGGAAUCAUAUUCUUCUUGCAUCGCUUGCUGCCAUUGGGGUAGUGAAGCAGCUUUUCUAAAUGUAUUUGGUUCAGAGGUAUCAGUGAUGGCAGAAAUAAAACUAUAGCCUCCACUAAAACAAUCGUCUUCAGUGAGCUGCAAAGAUUGCAACUCAGGAAAUGAUGUUAUAAAUGCAGUAUAAUCUCGUCUUUGAAUGACACCACUUUUCAACCUUGUUACCAUCUGGUGAACAGACUCAGAAGGAUUUAUAUUAUCAGAAGGAUCUGUGGUAAUGAAAGAUUCAUUUUGCGAUGAAAAUGGCAAGAUUACCUGAAGUUGGGAAUCUGAAUGGACAGGCAACACUGAUGAUGUACCAGAGUGAUGAUGAGGGGAAUAAGACUCUUGAUCUCGCUGUGAAACCAAAACUGACUCCCUAGAAUCUCUUGAUUGUGACUCAAUUACAGUAUUCAUAACUGGUGUAGCCGAUGACACUGAAUUGCCUUCUUCUGGAAUACCAUGAUCAUCAUGCUGUACAUUGGGAGUAUUUGAAGCUAGAUGAGGCAUUCGAAUAGCUAUAUACUGUUGAUGAGACUUUAGAGAAAUUCCUGAAUUGACACCUUUGGUACAAGAAUCUAGUUGAAAAGGAUAAACAUCCUCAUCAUGUAUAACAUGCCUUGAAAUAAUGAACUUCCUACUAUGAAUAUCAUAACAUAGCACUCCUUUGUAUCCCAUUGCAAAUCCAAGAAAAACACAUUGACUUGAUCUAGCUUGUAGCUUAUUUCGAUUAUAAGGUCUAAGAUAUGGAUAUAUUGCUGUCCCAAACACUUUAAGAUUGUGGAUUGCAGCAUUGUCACCAAACAAAAUCUGAUAAGGUGACUUAUGAUCCAAACCUUUGCAUGACAUCCUAUUUAUCAAAAACGCAGCAUAUGAACAAGCAUGAUACCAAAACACAAUAGGAAUUGAAGCUUCUGUCAUCAAACUUAAAGCAGUUUCAACUAAAUGCCUAUGCUUCCUUUCUGCAAUGCCAUUCUGUUGAGGUGUAUAAGGACACGAAAUCUGAUGCAGAAUACCUUUUUGAUCCAGAAAACCUUUCAUCAUACUAUUGGCAUACUCACCACCACCAUCAGUUUGAAAACAUUUAAUUGAACUGUUAAACUGUGCCUGAACAAAAGCAUAAAACUUGGCAAAAAUCGGAAACACAUCUGAUUUAUUUAUCAUUGGAAAAAUCCAUACAAAUCUUGAGAAGUCAUCUACAAAGCUGACAUAAUACCUAUACCCUUCUAUAGAUCUCUGUGGAGAUGGUCCCCAAACAUCUGAAUGUAUCUUUUCAAAUUUAUGUGUUGCUCUAGCUUGUUUUACAGAAAAAGGUAAUCUACACAUUUUCCCUGAAAUACAAGCUGUACAAAUAGUAGAAGAGAAAUCUUUAUGAACUGAUAUACUCGCAUUUUUCAACAUUGUAGACAGUACUUCUUCAUUUGGAUGUCCCAAUCUCUUAUGCCAUAUUGAACUUGUCACUUUCUUUCCAAGAAAUGCUCCACAGUGCUCCAACUUUGCAGCAAAUGAACCCUUAAAGACAGAUACUGGUAUCUUGAACAAUUCCCCAUCAUCACUCUUUCCUUGGUACAAAAUCACUCGGGUUGCCUUGUCCUGUAUAAAGAACACCAAAAUCAUCACAAAUAAACCAACAUCCAUUAUCUCUACAUAAUUUCUUAACUGACAACAGAUUCAUGGCAAUAAGUGGAACAUGUAAUACAUUAUUUAGCACAAAGGUAUGAGUAUCAGUAACAAGUUCAGAAGCACCAAUAUUCUUAACAUUCAAACCUUCUCCAUUUCCUAUGGUGAUUUUAGAGUCACCAUUGUAAGGAGUGGCCUGAUUAAGAUGUUCAAGAUGAGCUGUCAUAUGAUGAGUGGCUCCUGUGUCAACCACCCAAGUAUCGGCAUUAGAAAAACCAUGGACAUUCUGACUUGCUUGUGGCACAUUUGAUGUUUGAGCAGCCAUUCCCACAGGUGUGAGAUUCAAUGAUUGUGGUGGAGGAGGUCCUUGAUAAGAGUAAUUAUUCCUGUGAUAGCACUGUAUAGCUGUAUGACCCUUCUUACCACAUAUCUGACAGAAAAUGGGACCUUUAAAAUUUCCUUGAGCACUAUCUGUCCUGUAAUAGCAAUUCGGUGCAGUAUGGCCUCUUCUUGAACAAAUUUGACAUUCUGGAGAUAUGCCAUAUUUGUAGUUUGUAUUGCCAUGCCAACUGCUUCCUUGGUUAAAUCCACUUCCACUUGAAAAGUUACUGGAACUACCAUAAGAACCCUUUUGAUUGUUAACAGAACCAUUGAAACCACCACCUGAACCAUAAGAAUCACUAAACCCAUAAGACCUAUUCCCAAAGUUGGAAUAAGAUCUUGAAUUAUUGGUAUUACCAUUGUUUCUCCUAUUACUGUUAUUGUUGAAAUUCGACCUCUGUUGGAAAGAUAUUCCACCAUUUGCAGCAAAACCUGAACCCCCAUUAAAAUUGCCUGGACCAUUAAGCUUCUAUGCAUUCGAGCUUUCACCUUGUUCAAAAUUCUGAUAUCUUCCUUGACCUCCUUGUCCAUUUGGCAAAUCACCAUUAACAUACAUUGCCGACAUGGUUCCAGCAAGAUUAUUCAUUCUUGUUUCAAAAGAACCCUCAACACCAAUUAACUGAGCCCUGAAGUCCUUUAGAGAUAUAAGUGUAUCCCUAGCAAGAAUUAUAGUCUUGAUAACUUCAAACUCUGGUGGCAGUCCAGAAAGUACAGCAAUCAUCAAAUCAUUAUCAGUUAUCUUCUCCCCUGCAGCCACAAGCUGAUCUUUAAUAGCCUUCAGCCGAAACAAGAAUUUAUCAACUGAAUCAGAACCCUUUUGUGCAGUGUGAAACUCAGUUUUCAACUGAUUGACCCUCACAACAAAAAUCGAGGCAAACCGUUCAUGUAACUUCUCCCAAGCCUCCUGUGCAGUCUUGCACCCUAUCACAUGAUACAUCACUUCAUCACUUAAUGUAGCAAUGAGUAAACUCAGUAAUGCCAAAUCUUGCUGAAUCCACUGUUUGUAAGCCUGAGAUAUCUCCUUUGUAACACCACCUUCAGCCGUAAUACAAUACUUCGGAGGACAUUGUGAUUCCCCAUUGAAAAAAUCAAACAAAUCAUAUCCACGAAGAACAGACGAAAACUGAUAACUCCAUUUCACAAAAUUAUCCUCAUGCAAUUUUACAGUAAUCAUACCAAGUAGACCUUCAAUCUUUACUGAAUUUAUAGCCAUUUUGCAAACACCAAGAAGAAAUACAAAUGCAGUACCCGAAAUUCUUGAUUAACAGACAACCAAUCUUGAAUCUUGACACACAACUCUCACUUCUGACUUCGGCCUUCUAUGAAGUAAGAAACUCAACAGACAAAAAAACUCCGCAUUCUUUCAAUUUUUAAUUCUUCAGCAAUCAACAAUCUUUCAAUUAAACUUCUUCUUUCAUACUUCUAAUCUUUUAAGUUUGCAGCAAUCAACAAUAUUUCAAUCAAACUCCUUCGUAAACAAUAUGCACCCAACAAUAUUUCGCAUCCACACCAAGCAAUUCAUAUAUUUUCACUGAAACAUUAUAUCAAACAGUUCAUCUAGCCAUUGAUUUAACAAAAUUAUCCUCAUGCAAUUUUACAGUAAUCAUACCAAGCAGACCUUCAAUCUUUACUGAAUUUAUAGCCAUUUUGCAAACACCAAGAAGAAAUACAAAUGCAGUACCCGAAAUUCUUGAUUAACAGACAACCAAUCUUGAAUCUUGACACACAACUCUCACUUCUGACUUCGGCCUUCUAUGAAGUAAGAAACUCAACAGACAAAAAACUCCGCAUUCUUUCAAUUUUUAAUUCUUCAGCAAUCAACAAUCUUUCAAUUAAACUUCUUCUUUCAUACUUCUAAUCUUUUAAGUUUGCAGCAAUCAACAAUAUUUCAAUCAAACUCCUUCGUAAACAAUAUGCACCCAACAAUAUUUCGCAUCCACACCAAGCAAUUCAUAUAUUUUCACUGAAACAUUCUAUCAAACAGUUCAUCUACAAGCUUCAAAACACAAAGAAAGACAAGGAUCGAGAAUACCCGAAAGCCGAACUCCUGAAACAGAAUGAAAAUUCCAAGAGAAAUCCAGAACUUCUUCACAAUUACACCUCCUGAUGCUCAAAUCUCAGCGGAAGAACCCAAAAAAAAAAAAACACCAACCAUGGCUCUUGAUACCAUGAUAAUACACCACUAAUAAUACCUUCGAAGAACUCACAGAAAGAUACAGAGAUCAAAGAGAAAGAAGAAGAGAAAGAAUAGAGAAAGAAACUGUAUUGAUUUGUGUAUAUUCCUUACUGAAUUACAAUAUCUGUUAUUCAGUUAUUUAUACAUGGAAUCCAAACUUAGCUAGUAAGCUAUUCACGUAACUAACUAACUAACAUAAGCUGAGUUGGCUGUCUAUCUGACCCUUGAAUGUUGUAAUGAGUUGGCAGUUCAUCUAGCCAUUGAUUUAUGAUACUCAACAAGGUGAAGAUAGGAACUCUCUAAUCUGUUCUUUAUGGUUAUAUUAGUUUGAUUUAUGGAUUAUUUAUGCGAUUUGAUGACGUCUAGUGCAGUUUCAACCGGGGAAGAUUUCCCAAAAAAUUGGUGAGGAAAACCGUGGCCAUCAAGCCACUUGUAGACGUUUUUUCCUGCUAUCUCCGGCCUCUGUCAAUCCUCGAUUUUGGUAUAGACCUGUUCCUUGAUUCCUACCUUCACUUUGGCUUUUAAACCAUUAAAUUCAGUUGAGAAUUGAGCUCGAAAUGAGCUCUGAAAGUCUGAGAAAAAACCUGCAAAACUGCAGGAACUCGUGAGGAAGACGAGUACAAGCGUACUCGGGGGCACAUGGAUGCAUGAGGGUGGUCGGCGCAUGCAGCGCGUGGCUGCUGUGCAUCCACGUUGUGACGACACGUGGCUGUCUAUGCAGCCACCUUGUGACGGCGCGUGGAGGAAUCCGAGAUCCCGCCUUAGGUUUCUCAACGUGCAGAAUCCGAAUCCGUCUUUUGUUUUCCAAAUUUGAUCGUUUUAAAAUAAUUUCUUUAUUAGCCAUACUUUGUAUGAAUACGCGAAUUUACAUUAGUUUGUUAUAUAUUUACAUGAAUGGUUUUGUUUCUAGGUGAAACGCGUCACAAGGAUCUUCAAUGCCCGCGAGGCAGGUUCGAGCCGACGACAUGAUUUGUGAGUGGGUCUUUGUUUUGGAAUAUUAUAUAUUUAUUUAGUUUCCACAUAAAUAUUUGAUAAAUAAUUUUUUACGUUACGCCUAUAUUAGAUUAAUAUUUAUAAGAAUUAGCAUAUUGACGGAAUUUGCUAAAUCCUACGGGAUGCACAUGUAUGCAUACUAUUAUGAGAUUUUAUUUAUGGCCAUGUUUAAUAGUUUAUUGAAUAGUAUUAUGUCGACUAGAAUUAUCGAUUUGCCGUUGUAUAAUCAUAUUUACAUUAUAUGCUCAUUGUGUGCUACACUGGUGUUAGUACUCACCCGGGCUAGGGUCAGUCUUCACGUGUAUGUUCACAUCGUACCGUACGCUCACUUUGGAUCCAUUGUAGGUGACAAUCCUGUCCUAGAUUGCUAUAGGCAAUUAGGACUCGUGUGUUAUGAGGAUAGCGCCAGUCUUCAUGUGAUUAUAGUACUAAAGCGUAAAUCAUUAUUACACCCAAUCAUAUUUAUGUCAAAAUACCUCUACAUAAACUUGUGUGUUAGCAUAUGUCAAUAAGCACUCGAUGUGAUGUGUUUAUUUACCAAAUAUUGUGAAGUAGUGCAUUCUAGGGAUAUUAUGGUUUACGGUCAGUAUUUUCAUACUAUACGUAGUAUGUUAUAUUUGGAAACUAUAUUUGUUUUACGGUGAGGGGUUAUUACAUUUUCGAAAAGGUUUUACAAAGCUUUAUUUUGAUGCUCACUCACCCUUGUUUUUCACCCAUUUAGGUUUUAGUAGCUAAGCUUUUGUGCCAAUGAGGAUUAUUGACAAAUCUUGGUAUCGGUGAUUACCUUCGAUGAUAUAAUUCUCAUUCUACCUUUACUAUAUUUUACUUAUACUCUGACAUCACGUGUGAAAUAAGUUCAUUCCUGCUCACAUGCGCACUCUUGCAUUUAGGCACUUUUAAGCUUAAAUUCAUUCACAUUUUCCAUCUCAUCACACUUUAUAGUUUCAUCACCUUUCAGAUGUUGACCAGCAUAGCUCGAUUUGGAGUCCAGAUGGACAUUUCGGGUCAGGGUGUGUCAAUUUGAAUAUUCAAAAAUAUUGAAAAAUAAGGAAUGUAUUUGAAUAUUUUGAUUCAAUUUGAAACUUGCCUAAAUCUAUUACAUACACUUGCUUAUAUACUUGGUUUUAUUUUAGGAAAAUUUUAUUUGAACUCAUACAACCUCUAACUACAUCCAACUUACUCUCUACACCCAUAUUAAUUUUAAUUCAAGAAUCAAUAUAUUUUUAAAUCCAAAUUUACUAACUAAAAUACCCUCACGAACUCAAUUUAAUAUGUAAAUUUGACUUUACACCUAUUUGAAAAAUAAAACCCUAAAAUUAAACAUUUGUUGUGUAGGUCAUUAAAGUUAGAAUGUUAUAUUGUAAUUCCUCGAGACAAACCAAAUAUUGAGCCUUAUACAUUUGGAAAGAUCUAGAUGUCUAGUUUACGAAGAAUUUUACGGUUCGUGAUUCCGAUUUUUCUAGGAGAUGUUAUUAUUAUUUUAGUGCAGACAUCACAAAAUCAAAGAUUUGUUGCGCAGAUCAGUGAAGUUUGAAUAAUUAAAUUGUAAUUCCUCGAGAUGAACCAAAUAUUGAGCCUUAUAUGCUUGGAAAGAUCUGGAUGUCUAGUUUAUAGAUAAUUUUACAGUCUGCGAUUCCAAUUUUUCUAGGAGACGUUAUUUUAGUGCAGACAACACAAAAUGAUUAUUUCCUACGAAUUUUGUUGAGAUUUUAGAAAUUUAGUUGCAUCUAAAUCAGAAGGCCAACGAGUGUUGUUUCCUUGAUCAUGGAGUAAGAUUAUCUUCCCUCUUUUUUUCCCUCUCCUUCCCUCCCCUCUUAUUUAAACAAUCACAGUUAAGUCACGUCAACAUAAGAAUGAGAGGGGAGAGAAUCCAAAUUACUUGAUCAUUGGGGAGAGAAUGUUUGAAAGUUACUUGGGCCUCAUUACCCAUCUCAUAAUUAUACGAAGGAGAGGGGAGAGAAUCCUAGCAGCUCGAGGUGACCACAAUAUUAUUUAAUAUUUUAUUAUACCUUUAAUCAUUAUUUAAAGUGGUAGGAUUACAUAAGCUACACUAAAUUGCAUAUCAUUGUCGCUCCCCGCAAUGUAAAACCAUUAUCACUAAACUUAAAAAUCAAAUCAAAUUGGAAUCUUAAACAACAAUGUUGAAUUUUGUUAUCAUUUUUCUCCAUUUAAAACUAAAGUUUCGAAUUUUACGCAAAGCCUCCAUCAACCAACCAUUCUAAAGUAUUAGCAUUCAAUCCCUCUGUCUAACAAAAAAAAAGGCCACGGUAAAACUUAAGAUAAGAGCACUUUUAUUAUGAAGUCUCCACUUUUCACUUUGAUAUUGUCGGCCAAGAAAGAAACCCAUCAUUAUGUUUUUUCAAUAUCAUUAUCUAUCUAAAUAUUUUAUUAUUAUUAUUUUAUGAUAUUUGUUAACGUGUGUCCUAGAGUAUUGUGACUACCAUUAAACUAUGUCACUUAUACAACAUGUGAUUUACCACACGAUUGAAUAAAUUAUUUAUUUAUAGAAGGCACAUAGUACAAUAUUUUGUCUUGACAAACUUUGUCAAUUUGAUUUAUUCAUUAUACGGUUGUACUUAUACUAUCAUUUAUAGGAAUUAUUGAGCAACUAGAUCCACUGAUCAACAUUGUUGCUGAUUAAAGAAGUCUACCAAUUUAUAGACUGAUGAGCCACAUGCUCAUGGUGACAAAGAUUCAGUCCGGACGGUGAUCUCUUGUUUGACCGGACACCCACUUGCUCGGACAUUCGCUUAUUGGGACACCUAUGUGCCUGGACCCAACUCGAUGACCCUACAGAUAGCCCCAACUCGAUGACCCUACGUAUGGCCUCGACUCAAAGACCCGACUUGCGUACCCGAUCCGCGGAUCCGACGCAUAGACCCAAUAUGCGAACCCAACAAGCGGACCCGAAUCAUGUAGAAUCAACUCAUACUGAGUGCAUGUCGACAUAAAGUAGAUACUUGCAAUGAGGAAUACCACAAGCCGAGCCGUCUCGUAGUGAGCAUAGCCUUUAGCCAAGCCGCCUCGCAACGAGCAUCGCCUCCAGCCGAGCAAACGCCUCGCCGCGAGCAUAGCUUCUAGCCGAGCAGCCUCGCAACGAGCAUCACCUCCAGCCGAGCAAACGCCUCGCCGCGAGCAUAGCUUCUAGCCGAGCAGCCUCGCAACGAGCAUCGCCUCCAGCCGAGCAGUCUCAUAACGUGUGAUACCUCUAGCCGAGUAUUGCUUUAUGUUGAGCAUUGCCUUGGGUUGAGUACUGGUUCAAGACAUCUAGCCACUUUGGCCCUUACAUGGAUUGGAUUUCAUGUCUCCAGCCAAAAGACUCUUUUGAUUGAAGACUUGGGAGACUGCUGUUGGUACCACACAUAUUGGGCCUCAGACUUUGACACAUUGGGCCUCAACAUUUGGACCUCAUUACCCAGACCAUAAUUAUGUAAAAGGAAGAGCCCCUUAUUCUAUAAAAGGGGACUCCUCCCCCCUCACAAAUUAGACUCUGGGAUACCCCCAAAACAUACAAGUCUCAAACAACUCAGAGACAACACUCUCUUCCUCAGGGGGACUCCCCUUGAGCUUGUAAUCCAUACAUACAGUUACAGAGAAAUACAAUCAACAUCAGUGUGGACGUAGCCCAAACAUUGGGGUGAACCACGAUACAUCUUUGUGUUCUUGGGCGUUUGCAUGAUUCACGGUCAAGUUUACGUUGUUCCAAGACCUUCCGGUUUUAUGCAUCAACAAAUUCCACAGAUCGUGAUCCACCAUAAUCAAAUUUAAUCAAACAUUAUGCUAAAUAUAUUAUACACCAAUAAAAACGAAUUCUACUUCAGAUGAGGACCAAGAAUUUCUCCAAUGGCUAAAAUGAAUUUAAUUUAGAAGUAAAAGAUGCAAUUUAAAGGAACAUACACUUAUUUUUCUUUAUGAGAGCUCUUAGGAUUUUAGUGAGGAUGAAUGUGAGAUAAAGAUUGGUGAUGGUAGGAUUUGAUUAUUGGAUAUGUGUUUAUUAAUAAAUUUUCAUUUUUUUUUGUUAAUUUCAUCAUGUACUUGAUGAUAAUUAUGCAAUAGGGUAAAAAAUGCAAUUCACAUUUAAAAUUUAAGUUGAGUGUAGAAAGAAGUUAAAAUGGGUUCAACUAAAAUUUUCCUUUAUUUUAUAUAUGUUUCAUUUGUUAUUUGUUAUAGAUAAGACUCAAGUAUGAUUCUAACUUUUUUACAAUUAUAUCUCCCUUAAAUAUAUUACAUACAAAAGAGAGAACUAAAGAUAUAUAUAUUAUGUUUGGACACAACCCACAACAAAAGUUGGCUUUCCAAAAGAUAUGUUUGAAAGUUACUUCCUCAAAGAAAGAAAUAUACGAGGCCGAAUAUUUUUGAGAAAAGCAAUGAGUUCAUGGUUGUUGAAUCUACGGUCAAGUGACUCUUACAAUAGUGCUAUUACUUGUAAUAAAAGAAGGAAUGCUACAAUAUAUAUAUAUAUUAUAUACUUUGAUCUAAUGAAAAUAUAAAAUAGUCCAUAAUGAUUUUUUUUUGUUGGUUAAAAUCAUAUAUGUUGUUAAUCACCAAAUCAAUUGAUCUCCCAAGACCAUCUCCAAUGGUAAGCUAAAACCUGAAAUUUCUUCCCCCCCCCCCCCCCCCCAACAAAAAAAAAGCCACUUCAACCCAUGACCUAAAAUUAACCUAAAACCUAAAACCCAAAUGGAGGGCAAAUACCGGCCCAAUUAUUGGCCACAAAGCAAAAUGGACCCCACCAAUUGAGACUGAAACCGGGGCUGUGAAGUCCACUGCCCACUCCCUACUCGCCUACGCGUUGUACGCGCUAGGCUUUCUCAAAAUUUUGUACCAACCCACGUGGGGUUGUUCCCCAUUGUCACACCACCAACACUACCACCGCAUUCUCUCUCCAUCACCCACACCACCAUGACCACCAUCACCGUCAAUCCUUCACCAUCGUCACCACCAAUGCCACCACCUCCCACCACCAUUAUCGCCACAACCACAUCCUCCACUACCAUCACAGUUGGGACCAAGGCCACCACCACCUCCACUGUCUUACCAUUGCCGCCACCACAGCCACUGUCUAACCAUCACCACUGCCACCUACACCUUCAUUGCGACCACCAUGUUAUCCACAGUCACAUUGUCGACCAUCAACUAUCCACAGUCACAUUGUCGACCAUCAACUAUCCGUUGUCACACCGCCACCACCCACCAUCAUUGCUACCAACACCACUCUCGUAGCGAUCACCGUCUCUACCACCACCACCACCAUCUUAAUAAUAUUUCUAAAAACAUUACUACCAAAUAUGAAAUUAUGAUACGUUUCAAAAAUCAUUCUAGGAUUAAACUACCAGACGCACAUUCAAAUCAUAAAAAUGCAAAAUCCUAUUUGUCGUUUUCGUUUUACAAAACAUUUUCAAAAUUCAUUUUGUAAAACGUUCCAGACGAACCCUAAAUUACUAGAGCGAAAUCAUAAUGACAAAGAACUUUUUCCAUACAAAGGCUUCUCCAUAACUUAACUGAACAGAACUGAAAAUAUGAGAAGUCAAAUGAAGCAAAACAAUACUUCACUUGAACAAAACAAUUUUACUCCGUAACUUAACCAAUUCAUAUAUUAUUCCAAUAGCAAAUUAUGCAUCUACUCCCCAUUCUUUCAAGCCUUGUAUUACUAUUUCUCUUUCAAUUAUGGAAUGACUAAAAUUUCAGAUCUCGCGUAACCCUACAAAAUCACUACACAGACACUAUUUGUUAGCACCCUCCAAGAAUGGCACGCCUGCAAUCAUUCUCUCUCUCAAGUUUUCUCUUAACACUUAAACCGAAAGAAACACUCAGGACAAAACAUGUGUGUUUACAAGAUCGGACUGUAUCCCAUUUUUGACACCAACAGAAAUAAACAAAUCAUAUAGAGGGCAACAAAAAGCAACAUAAAAUAGGCAGCAACACAAUUGCUGCAAUUUAUUACCAUAUUUACUUUGAAGGCACAUAGAGUGCACGGUACAACUUAACAAAACAGCAACUUUAUACUUUCGUCGUGGUAGAAACCCAACAUACACAAUCAAAUUAAAGAAGUGCCACCAGCUGGUCAUCUGGUUUAUUUAUAAUCACUCAGAGGCAUAUAUACUUUGACUCCAAGCAAACGAGCACGCAACAAGGUAAAUACAGUUAAGGUGCUGGUAGGAUGAUGGGAGGUGAAAUGUGCGACUCAACGUCCCAUAGCUCCAAAACCCCAUGAACAAAGUCAUAGUAACCACCCUUGAGCGCUAGGUUGUUCUCUGCGAGCGCCUUUUGAACGUAAGGGUAAGUUUGUAGGUUUAUUAGCGACAAAUUUACUGCUUCCUGCAUAAAAAUUAUCAUUCAAGAAGAUGUUUAGGUGAGAUUAAUGUCAUAACUCAUGAAAGCGCACGCACACACCUUAACUGGUCACUAAAAAUUAUUUCAUUUGCAAAAAGUGAAUCGAGAGUAAAUGGCCUUCCAAAUAUUUCAUCAAUCCAAGAUCGAAUUAAUAUCUUACCCUUGCACAAUCCUCACAUUGUUCCUCGAAAGUGGUGCCACCUUGUCCAUUUGCUAUAACCUUAGCCUUGGCGGGUAAACCAAUUUUGACCCAUUCAUCUAUGAAGUCACUGCAUAUUCCAAUCAAAUGGUUAAGGAUGCAAAACUAUAUACCAUUAGCAAGUUCUAAUGAUCUCAGUUCAUUGCUAAAAAAAUGAUUAGGCUGGGUUUUUGGCUAUACUCUUUGACCAUCCUAAAAAUGCUAACAAAUAUCCAAAUUAACAGGUCUUAUAUUGCAUCCUUGUAAACGAUUAUGAUUAAUCAUCUUCCAUAAUCUACAACUUUUGUGUGUAAAAAGCCUUACAAGGGAACAGAGUUAUCCUCAGGGUGACUCAUAAGCCUCUUUAUCCCACCACAACGACUGUGUCCAAUUACCAAAAUAUUUGUCACCUGUUCAAUUUUCUUCUUGUUAGCAUUCAAUUCAUACUAUUUGAGUAACAAGUGAAGAGAAAAGGAUUAAGAGUUAUUAAUUCAAUAAAUUAAAAGACUUUUGGAAUGUUUACCAGGAGUUGUGUAAUAGCAUAUUCUAUAACUGCUCCAACUCCUGCGUGUUUCAGCUGUAAAGAUAUGGAAAAAAAUUAUUUUCGUAGUCGGAUGCAUGACUAUUAUGUGAUUUAUGAGAAAUUAUAUUCUCAAAGUUCAAUAUUAUUUUGAACGUGAAACUGACACACUUGUUCAUACAGUUUCUAAUGCAGGUGUGCGUUACUAUUAUAUAAUGUAGAGAGUAAUGGACCUGACUGAAUGCAGGAACCAUGUUUGCAAUGUUGCGAGCCAUGAAGGCCUCCCCAGGUUGGAAACUAAGGAUAUGUGAGGGGCUCACUCGGGAGUCCGAGCUGUUAAAGAUAGUGAAGGACCAGCUAUUAAUCAUGUACACAAUACAUUAGAAUAAUACUCUCAGAUACUUAGCUUAGCUGUUAAGUUUUGGCUUGUUAGAAUUAGUUGUGUAAAAUGCUUAGUCAGCAUUAUUAUGUAUUUUAUGUGUAUAUAUAUACACUGUGUACUUUGUAACUGAUGUAAUGAGAAAACCAUUUUACAACAAAUCCAAUCUCUCUCUAGAUAUUCUCUCUCUCUAAUUUCUCUCUAGAAUCUUGAGUUUCUCCAGAUCCCUAAUCUUCAACAUGGUAUCAAUCGCCUUCGUCUCACGACUUCGAUCCUUGCUUCCGUGAAUUUUCUCGCCUUUUCUUACCUCCCAAACAGAUCUUACCUUUUUCUUUUCUGUAUCUUGUCUACUAUUUCCAUGGCGACCACCACGAAUCCUUCUGAUUCUCCUUCUCCUGCAACUUCUUCUGCCCCGGCUCCCUCUCUCCUCACUCCGAUUGCAUCUAUUACUGUUCAGAAUGUUGCUGGCAUGGUUCCAACUAAGCUCAAUCGUCAGAAUUACAUUACCUGGCGCAGUCUGUUUCUUCCUGUUCUGAAAUGCUUUAAGCUUCUAGGGCUCAUCAAUGGCGAAGAUCCUUGUCCACUGGAAUUUGUUCGUAACUCCUCUGGUUCUCGGAUUCUCAACCCCGAUUAUGAAGCUUGGUGUGAACGAGAUCAGAUUUUGACAAUCUGGAUCAAUUCUACACUUGCUGAGGAUCUUCUUCCACUGACGAUUGGGAUGGAAGAUUCGCGGUCUCUUUGGCAGUCUCUUGAGCGUCGAUUUGCUGGUGCUUCGCGCACUCAUGUCCACAGUCUUCGCUCCAAGAUUCAGAAUAUUCAGAAAGGUGAUUCUUCAUUGACCGACUAUCUCAACUCCAUCAAAGAAAUCUCUGACAAACUGGCCGCGGCUGGUGAGCCGAUAUCUGAGAAGGAUCUUGUUGCGUAUAUUCUUUCUGGUCUGCCGGAUGAGUAUGAAUCGUUUAUUGAUUCAAUUGAGACGCGAUCUGAAGAUGUCAAUGCUGAUGAACUUCACGACCUUCUUCUCAGUAAAGAAAUUUCUCUUCAAAAACGCAAGACUCGAUCAUCUUCCUCCUCCGCUCCUUUUCAUGCCUAUACAGCACAGCCACAUCCAUCUGUCUCUAAUUCCUUUCGCGGAAAUUCUCGAGGAAAGUCUCAGUAUCGCAAUCGAUCUAAUCAGAAUCGUCAUUUUGGGGCUAAUCAAAAUGGUACUUUUGGACCUAAUCCGAAUCGUUAUUUUGGAGCUAAUCGGAAUGGUACUUUUGGCGCUCAUAGCAAUUCUGGUGGUGUCCUUGGUCCUGCUCCAAAUCAGAAUCGAUCAUCCUCAUUUUUCUCUGGACGUCCUAAUCCAUGUCAACUAUGUCAUCAACAUGGUCAUCUUGCUAUUUCUUAUGGUCAACUUUCACAAUUUGCGUCUCAGCACUCUCAGGCCUUCACCAACACUCCUGUUGGCAUGUCUGCUAUGACUGGUUCCUCUUCCCCAAGCUAUUGGCUCACUGAUAGUGGUGCUUCACAUCAUGUCACUCCUGAUCCAGCAUCUCUCAACUCAGGAAUUCCGUACACUGGUACUGAACAACUGUUCGUCGGUGAUGGUAAAGGUCUUUACAUUUCUCACAUUGGAUUUGCACUUCUUCGAACUGCCAAUGUUGCGUUUAAACUGAAUAAUGUUCUUUUAGUUCCUAAAGCUUCUCAUAAUUUGCUCUCAGUCUAUCGUUUUGUUCAUGACAAUUGGUGUUCUCUGACAUUUGAUCCUUUUGGAUUCUAUGUCAAGGAUCUAAGAACUGGGAGGACGCUUUUCCAGGGCCCCAGUGAAGGAGGUCUUUAUCCCUUCUAUUGGAAUGCAUCUAAUGGCGUAUCUGGCAUUGCUAUUUCACCUCAUGCCCUCAUGAUAGCUAAAGCAGACAUCCAUAUAUGGCACAGAAGGCUUGGACAUCCUUCUUCUAUAGUGUUAAAUAAGGUUGUCAAGCACAGUAAUCUCCCUAUUGUUGGUUCAGUACAUAAACAAUCAUUUUGUUCUGAUUGUCAAUUGGGGAAGGCCUCUAGACUCCCAUUUUCUGUUUUGCCUUGUACAUCCACUAGGCCAUUUCAUAUCAUUCAUGCUGAUGUAUGGGGUCAUUCCCCCACUCCUUCAUGUACUGGAUAUAAAUACUAUCUCAUUCUUGUUGAUGAUUUCACCAAAUAUAGUUGGUUAUAUCCGUUGUACUUCAAAUCUGAUGUGUGUUCUGUUCUUCAAACUUUUGUAUUAAAAAUUCAGAAUUGGUUUGAUUGUAAGAUUCAGUGCCUGAGAUCUGAUUCAGGGGGUGAGUUUCUCAGCUCUAUUUUACAAGGUUUUCUUAAUGCUCACGGUAUAGUCCAUCAAUUGAGCUGUCCUCACACUCCCGAGCAGAAUGGGUGCGCUGAGCGGAAACAUCGACAUGUUGUGGAAAUGGGAAGGACUUUGUUAUCUCACAGUGGUUUGCCCUCUAAGUUUUGGGUUGAAGCAUUUCAAACCGCAGUGUAUCUCAUCAAUAGACUGCCAUCUCAGUUUUCCUCUUGCCCCUGGGAAUUAAUGUUCAAAGCACCGCCUAAAUAUCAUGUUCUGAAGACUUUCGGUUGUGCCUGUUAUCCUUGGUUACAACCCUAUAGUUCUCAUAAACUGGACACAAAGAGUAAACUCUGUGUAUUUUUGGGGUAUAGUCUGCAUCACAGUGGGUACAGAUGUUUUGAUCCGGUUACUAACAAGUUAUACAUUUCACGACAUGUUGUCUUCGAUGAAGCUUGCUUUCCUUUCAAGCAAUGUACUUUUUCUCCUACUCUUUCCCCCAUCUCAACUACUACACCUUCAGACUCUCCCAUUUCCUUUACCAUACCGGUCUCUUCUUCAUCACAUCUACCCCAUGCCUCCCCCUUACCUCCUGCCACUGUCUUACCAACUUCAUUUCCUACUUCACUCUCACCUACUACUGUGCCUUCUCCACCUUUAGCAUCCCCUACUCACCCUACAACUACUCCUCCUUUAGUUUCUCUCCCUGUUAACAAUCAUCCCAUGAUUACACAGGCCAAGGUUGGCAUACACAAACCUAAAGUGUUCACUGCCACCAAGCAUUCUCUUCCUUCGACUGUUGACUCUCUCACAGUUAUUCCUUCUACACCCACCACUUAUCUCCAAGCUUCUAAAAACUCCCACUGGUUGGCAGCAAUGAAGGAUGAGUAUCAAGCUUUACAGUCCACAGGUACUUGGGAACUAGUACCCCCCAAUCCUCAAUAUAAUUUGGUUGGCUGCAAAUGGGUAUUUAAACUUAAACACAAGGCUGAUGGUUCUAUAGAAAGGUACAAAGCUCGGCUUGUCGCCAAGGGAUUUCAUCAACAGGAAGGUCUUGAUUUCUCCGAGACGUUUAGCCCAGUAGCUAAACCGACUACUAUUCGCAUUCUCCUGUCUAUUGCAGUCACAUAUAAUUGGUUUAUUCAUCAGUUAGAUGUGAGUAAUGCAUUUCUCCAUGGCUAUCUCAAAGAGGAUGUCUACAUGGUGCAACCUCCUGGGUUUAUUGAUCAAUCUCAACCUCAUCACGUUUGUAAACUGAAGCGAUCGCUUUAUGGCCUCAAACAGGCGCCCAGGGCCUGGUAUGAAGCCUUUUACAGUGCUAUUCUUUCAUUGGGUUUUAUCUCUUCAUCCUCUGAUACUAGUCUUUUUAUCAAGAGAGAUUCUACUAUCACCUUUAUCCUAGUCUAUGUGGAUGAUAUAAUCAUCACUGGGAGCUCCUCCAUGGUCAGUCAGUCCAUCAUUUCUCAACUCCAAUCUUUGUUUCCUGUCAAAGAUUUGGGUGAUAUUCAUUACUUCCUUGGCAUUGAAGUUCACAGAUCCCCUACCGGUCUCUUUCUUAAUCAAUCCAAAUAUGCCUUGGAUUUACUAAAGAAAACCGACAUGCUUGGUGUCAAACCCUGCUCUACUCCAGUGAGUUCAGCCAAGUUAGACAGUUCUGGCUCUAUUCUUCCAGAUCCUACAACUUAUAGGUCCACUGUUGGUGCACUUCAGUACUUGACUUGGACACGUCCUGAUCUGGCUUUUGCAGUAAAUCAGGUUUGUCAACAUAUGCAUACUCCUAGAACUAUCCAUCUACAAGCUGUCAAGAGGAUUUUACGGUAUCUAAAGGGUACCAUUGCCUCCGGCUUAUGGUUCAAACCAGGAAAACAGUGCCUCACAGCUUGGUCUGAUGCUGAUUGGGCAGGUUGUCCGGUAGACCGCCGAUCUACUAGUGGCUACUGUGUUUUCUUAGGUCCCAAUUUGAUCUCUUGGAGUGCCAAGAAACAAACCACUGUGGCACGAUCUUCUACUGAAGCAGAGUAUCGGUCUUUAGCCAAUACUGCUUCUGAGAUUACCUGGGUGUGCAAGAUCUUGAAGGAUAUUUCUUUUCCUCUUCUACAACCACCUGUGAUCUGUUGUGAUAAUCUGAGUGCAAUUGCUUUAGCCAAGAACCCAGUUUUUCAUGCCCGAACCAAACAUGUCGAGAUUGAUUAUCAUUACAUCCGAGAGAAGGUUCUUCAAGGUCACAUCAGUAUUCAUCAUGUUGCUAGUCUUUUUCAGAUUGCUGAUAUCUUUACCAAGUCCUUACCUGCAGACAGAUUUGCUACUCUCAGUCACAAGCUUUCAGUUUGUUCUCCUCCCUUCAACUUGAGGGGGUGUGUUAAAGAUAGUGAAGGACCAGCUAUUAAUCAUGUACACAAUACAUUAGAAUAAUACUCUCAGAUACUUAGCUUAGCUGUUAAGUUUUGGCUUGUUAGAAUUAGUUGUGUAAAAUGCUUAGUCAGCAUUAUUAUGUAUUUUAUGUGUAUAUAUAUACACUGUGUACUUUGUAACUGAUGUAAUGAGAAAACCAUUUUACAACAAAUCCAAUCUCUCUCUAGAUAUUCUCUCUCUCUAAUUUCUCUCUAGAAUCUUGAGUUUCUCCAGAUCCCUAAUCUUCAACACGAGCAUGCAAAUACCAGAAACUGCGUUGGGAAUUAGCAACAGAAAGAUUAAUUAAACAUUUCUUGGUCUAUUUAUUCUAAUUAAGAUGUUACAGCCAAAUAUUACCUUGGGGCUUUGUCCAUUGGCAAGCUCCUUGUAGUAAUCUGGGUAUUUUCUGUAAGAUCAGUAGACAUUAUGCUUUCGAAUCUAUUAGAUAUAUAGCAAAUAUGUACGAUAAUUAAUUAUUUUCAUAUAAUAAUAAAGAAAAUAGUGAUAUUACUCGAAUUUGUUGACCCUGAAGUUGAUGAAGCCAUCUACAAUCCUUUGAACUGGGUCGAAAUGACCAUCUGCAGGUCUUUGCAAUUCAGCCAUCAACUUCUCAAUUUUGGCAGCAACCACAUCGUCCAGCUCUUCCUUCUCACUGCAACCAUGCCAACCAAGAUUAUCAUUAAUUUCAUCGUCCCAUGCAUAUAUUUUAUGCCACCAACAACCCUUUGUAGCCUUUAACAAAAACAAAUUGGAGACUAAUUUUUUUUUCUUGUUAGAUAUAUAGUUUACAUGUUAAAGUAACGUUUAGAAUCGGUCCAUGAACUUUCACCCUAGUUUAUAUUUAGUCCAUGUACUAAAAAUUCGUUAAUUGAAUUUGGUUCUUAAAAUUAACAAAAGAGUAAAUUGUAGUAAUGGUCCCUCAACUUUAAUUCAAUUGGAGCAAUGGUCAUUCAAUUAAAAAUCCAUUACCAUUGGUCCCUCAACUCAUCAAAAUGUGUAGUUAUGAUCAUUUUUAUCAACUUCGUUAAAAUUUUGUCAAAAUAAGUUAUGUUGGAAGGAUCAUUGCUACAAUUGGGGUCCCUCAACUCAUCAAAACGUAUAGCUAUGGUCAUUUUCGUCAACUUCAUCGGAAUUUUGUCAAAAUGAGUUAUGUAUGAAGAACCAUUGCUACAAUUGGGUUAAAGUUGAGGGACCAUUUCUCUAGUUGGAUUAAAGUUGAGGGACCAAUGGUAAUGAAGUUUUAGUUGAGGGACCAUAGCUGCACGUUUUGAUGAGUUGAGGGACCAAUGGUAAUAGAUUUUUAGUUGAGAGAUCGUUGCUAUAAUUUACUCUUAACAAAAAUAUGCACAAUUUUGAGUUCACAGACGAAAUCUAAACUAGGACCAAUUCUAAAUUUUUACUUUUACAUGUUAUAUUGUCAAACAUCAAUAUCUGAUAUUUUCAUAAAGUGGAUGGUUAGACCAAAGAUCAUGGAUGGAGUCAAUAAGUAGGCAAACCUGAGGAGAUUUUUCAGGCGUUGAAUAGCUAAUUGGCUUGCCAUUUUGUCUACUUUCUUUCCUGCAAAUUCAAGAAUCAAGACCUUAUUAGUUUACAUUGAAAUGUAUUAUAUGGGUUCUCCUUAAUCACGACGGCACAAAAAAAAAAAUGUAAAUAAGAAACUGAGAGAGUCCCAAGCGGUGGGAAAGAAGCCAAAAUUAACCCUGAACAAAGUUCAAAACAAAACAAGACCAGGCAAACCAUUUUUUUUCCCUUCUUGGCACCUAUAUUUAUUUUUGUUUUUUGAUUUUCUUUUAAUUUAUUCAACUCAAAGGCCAAAUAAAUAAGGAUUGUAUAUUUGAGUUGUUCCUUUAAGAAUUAACUAGGUUUUUAGUUUUAUAAGCUAUAUUGAAUCAAACUUGAAAUUCCGAGUGCAAGAGUUAAAUUUCUAUGAUCAGUAAUUUUAAUUUAUCUUCAAUUAAAUAAGAGUUUUCAUUGGAAGUACGUUUUUUUUUUUUUUUUUUUUUUUUUUUUUUUUUUUUUUGGAAAACCUCGACGGUACGAGGGUAAUUUUAUUGAUAACGAAAAAACAAGGUACACCUAGUCAGGGGGGGACAUAAACCUUACCCCUCCAAAAAACAGAGAUAACAAAAAGGAAUACACUAGAAAGAAGGGGGGACAUAAACCUUACCCUUCUAGAAACAAAAAAUGAGAAUGAUACAAAGAAAAGAGGGGGGGACAUGAAACCUAACCCCUCUAGAACCAAACAUGAAGGUCUAAACCUGCAAAACAAAUCAAACAACACCAUAAAGAUAGGAGAAAAAAAGGAAAGUGAGACAAACCUGGAUGCCGACAUGCACAUUAAUUUGAGAAGCGGUAACCAGGCAAGCCAACAUAGUCAGAAAACAGAGUAGCACGAACCGCCAUCGGAGGAGAAUCAUGCCAUGUUAAAGAUGGAGAAGACAAGCCCAUGUUAGCAAAAUUGUCCGCAACAAGAUUUCCUUCUCGAUAUAUGUGAGAUGCGUAGAAAGUCAUUUUCCGAAUGCGAUCCAAACAAAUAGACCAUUGCGUAUGAAGAGGCCAAGGAGGAUCAAAAUCAGAUGAUUGAAGAGCAGAAAUAACACUAGAACUAUCACUUUCCAACCAAAGACAGUGCCAACCCCGCUGAUAAGCAAACUCAAUACCAAUAAUAAUUGCUGAUAACUCUGCAAAAAAAGAGUUGCAAUGACCAAUCCGUUGACAGAAACCUCCGAGAAAACGACCAUGGCAAUUCCUGAAAACUCCUCCACAUGCAGCAGGACCGGGAUUUCCUUUAGACAAACCAUCUGUAUUAAGCUUAACCCAAGGAAACGAUCAUUGGAAGUACGUUAAUUAAACUGGUUUGAGCAUUAAGGAAAGAACUAGAACUAAUUAUCCAUAUAUGUAAAUUCUGCCAAAGUUCACAGUACUAAGCACGCGCAUACACACACAUAUGAUAAUAUAGUUUGAGUAGAAACAUAGAAAUUGAUAUUAAUCUCUUGCAUACCCGAAAUAAUCAGAACAUGAUUUAUUCUAUGCCCAAACAAAAACAUACACACACAACCGUACGUACGUUCAAGAUAUUUUCCAAACCUAGCAAUGGAACUAAAGGAGAUCAAAUUGCUUCACACAUGCACAAGCAACAAAUACAAAACGCAGGCACAUAUUUGCAGUGAGGGUUGGAGCUUCUAUUUAUACACCGAGUGAUAGAGACUAGCUCCUUUUUAUUUCUUUCUAUUUCAUUUUUGGGUUGAGACUAACUAUUUAAUCGACAUGUUUUAAUUACUCUCUGAAAUAUUGAUAUUGAUUGAUUGGACAACUAUGAAAGCAUUGGACCAUAUUUAAAUCGUGAUUCGUGACAAUAUAGUAAAAAACGAGAAGGAGCUCUCCACUCCUGGCUCCAAUACCAUAUCUUUAGCAGUUUUUUUUCUAUGAAUUCUUUUAAUAGGGUAAAAUGUAUAUUUUGUUGAGAUUUGACGAUGUGAGGAAAAGUUUGUCUCACAUCGAUGAGGGACAUGUUUUGUUAUGAGUUUAUAUGGUUUUGAACUACUUCUUAUAUGACCAAUUGGUUUUAUGGUGGAACUCUAAUUUUAUCAUGGUAUCAGAACAUAUUGUCCCUCGUGUGAAACCCUAAGGGUCACACGUGUUCAUGCGUCACCCAAUUGUUGUCCACGUGUAGGCUUGAAAAUCGGCCACAUGUGUCCGUGUUGAGAUUUGAUGAUGUGAGGAAAAAAUUGUCCCACAUCGGUGACGGACAUGUCUUGCUAUGAGUUUAUAUGGUCUUGGGUUACUCCUCGUAUGAUCAAUUGGUUUUAUGAUGAAACCCAAUUUCAUCAUAUUUAAGGUGGCGCCAUCCAAUUGUGAAUGUUUCCCAAUUUCUUGCUUUCUUUGUUACAUAUGAAUUAUAAGUUGCAUGUAGUACGUGAUUGAGAAAAAAAAGUUUGUGCAUGCGAAGAAGUUAGUAAUUAAUUAGUGAUUAUGUAGGUUUACUAGCAAGACAAAAUGCGUAACUAGCCGUCUUAGGAAAUUUUUUAAUCUUAAAACUCAUGAAUAUGCCCGCAAGAAAAACGCAUUUCUACUUCUUUAUAGUGGCACGUAAUGACAAUCAUACACUUAUAAUUUCCACUCCUACACACAAGCGCACAAGCUGACUCAUGAAUAUGCCCGCAAGAAAAACACAUUUCUACUUCUUUAGAGCAACUUCAGCGUGGGCUGGUGCUUGGGGGACGGGGGACGAAAUAGGGCUAGAUAGCUCGACCUUGAAGCGUCAGCAUGGGCAGCCCAAGGGAGAGUGGAGGCCCAAGCUCCGGGCAUGUGAGGAAUUGCCAGCCCGAGAGCCCGAGUGGAUGUGACGCUAGGGCUGACGUCAUCCUGGUGUUGGCCCAAUUUUAUAUUUUUUUCUGUCAGGCGCGUGCGACUCAUCCGCGUGUGGGGGCGUGUCCGCAGACAACUUUUCAGAGUAUGGGCUCGCGUUGUAGUCUACCGAUAUUACCGUUGGGAAGCCACGUGGCUUCCCACGGUCCGUUUGAUCUUAACGGCUCUUUAAAUUGAACCGUCUGAUUUGCAACGAUAAUAAAAAUAAAAAAAUCUUAUUUAAUAUCAACCGUUGGAUCUGAGUUCAAAUCCAACGGUUGAUAUUAUUCUGCUUUAUAAAUAAAUAAAUAAAUAAAAGAAAAAAUAGUUUUAAAAUUAAGAAAAGUUACCGUUGUGACAUGUGGCACAAUCUGGAGUGUUGGAAUUCAAUUUUUUUUUUCAAUCCAACUGUAGAGAUUAAUUAGUUCAAUAAAAAUUUAAAAAGAAUGUAAAAAAUCCGAAAAAAAAAACAUUCUCAUUAUCAUCUACCUUACAUCACAAUUUCAUAUUUUCUCAACUACUUUCAAUCAAAUUCCUAUCUUUCUCUCAAAGUUUCAAUCCAACUUUUUUCAACAAAAUGACUACUGAUGCAAGUACAAAUUGGUCACUUCUUGAAGAUGUUGCGUUGUGUACUAGCUGGGUUGAAGUUACUUAUAGUUUGCUUACGGGUAAUGAGAUGCAGUUGCUAGAAAUAUGGAGUCUUAUUCAUACCAAUUAUCUUGAAAAAAUGGGUGAGAAAAGAACCAAAGAAUCGAUGUCAAGUCGUUGGAAAUUACUUAGCCAAUCGUUUAGUACGUGGAGAGACGCAUUGGCACAAGCUAGUACUAAUCUUCGAAGUUGGGAAAAUUAUGCGGAUUAGGUAACAAUAUAUUAUUUAUUUGUUUGUACUAUACCCAAAUUUAUAUUAUAAUUAUUUAUUUGUAUUAUUUAUUUAUUACCUAUUUUCAUUUAUAAUUAUUUGUUUGUUUUAUCUAUUUGUUACCUACUUUCAUUAUAAUUAUUUGUUUGUAUUAUUUAUUUGUUACCUAGUUUCAUUAGAAUUAUUUGUUUGUAUUAUUUAUUUGUUAUCUACUUUCAUUAAAAUUAUUUGUUUGUAUUAUUUAUUUGUUACCUACUUUCAUUAUUUGUUUGUAUUAUUUAUUUGUUACCUACUUUCAUUAUAAUUAUUUGUUUGUAUUAUUUAUUUGUUACCUACUUUCAUUAAAAUUAUUUGUUUGUAUUAUUUAUUUGUUACCUACUUUCAUUAAAAUUAUUUGUUUGUAUUAUUUAUUUGUUACCUACUUUCAUUAUUUGUUUGUAUUAUUUAUUUGUUACCUACUUUCAUUAUAAUUAUUUGUUUGGGCCCAAAAAUACUGUUUUGGGCCGAGUUAGGUCUUUUUCGGCCCAGUGUGGGAUAGGCCGAGGUUAGACUCAUCCUCGGCCCAAAAGUUGUAAACAGGUGUCGUUAGAAGAUGUUCAACCCAUGGGCCGAGUGGUCGAAGUGGGCCAUAUCCUAUCGGAAAGAGGAAUAUGGAUGAAUCCUGUUGUGAGAGGGAGUCUCGACGGGAUCAGGAUGCUGAGAUUGAACACGGUUUGAUAAUGAGUUGUGUUCAAAGUCCUAGUAGGAAUAGGAUUGGUCGAGAUAAAGUUGGAUUAUGAUAAGGAGUUCUAAUCCAGGAUGAAUGAGAUUUAAUACAGGUUGACUGCUAUAUAUAGGGAGAGAAGACAUCGAAACAACCCCCUUCAAUUCAACACACAACUGCCCUACGCAAAUUCUCUCAACAACCUUGAAACUUUUUCCUUUUCUUUUUUCGCCGACACACCUUCAGUUUGGAGAAACAACACUGUGAAGGCAACCGGUGAUAUCUUCAGUCGGUAUAGAUAGCACUGUCACCGUAGAACCAGUCGGUUUCGCAGCAUCUUCAGUCGGCAUAGAUAGCACUGCGUCGAGGGUGACUGGUUAUCUAUCCAAGUCUCGGUCGAAAAAGAUUUCCGAAUCCUUAUUGGUUGAGGUCAUCUCAUUAGCUUUCUCGGCGAAGUGAGGUGUUACAGUUUAUUAGGCUCGGCACAUUGCAUGCCGAGUUAGUUUAUGAUUGGAUACUCUCAAGUGAGAUUUAGAGUUCGGUAUUCCGACGGCCGAACCACGUUUAUUGUUAAGACAUAUAUCCGCUUUGAGUAUUUGUGCCCUUACACUUUGGUGUCGAUUCGGCGUGAGUUUACUCUGACGAAUACCAUCACUGUGACCAAAUCCGACGACGAAGAUUUGUGAACUUCGUAAGAAUAGUAGCCUUGUCUUCAGGUUUGAGAACCCAAGAGGUCGAGACUUGUUCAUUCCUCGGUCGCAAUCGCAAGACGUAGAAGUCGGCCGCGCACUUAACACAACAUCAGCAUAUUUUACUCCUCGGGCGAGCUUGGCUGACGAGUUGGCACGCCCUGCAUUCAAUCGAAUGACGUAGUUAGCUCAUAGUUUACUCGGCAUGCGCGCCACGUAGGCUUGGUAGUUUUUAGGGUCAACAAUUAUUUAUUUUUUACCUACUUUCAUUAUAAUUAUUUCUUCUCCCACAUUAUGUAGCAACUUCAAGCACAAGCUUGGUAUGGUGCCAAAACUAAAAGCAAAAAUAAAUCAUUCAACCGGUGGGAAUGUUGGAAUAUUGUAAAAGAUUAUCCUAAAUUCAGAGUUGUGCCUGUCGGUCCAGAAGUUUUCAUGAACAACACUCAUCUACACUCUACACCUGAUCAUGGCUCGCAUGUUCAUGAAGAUGAUGCAGAAGAAGUGCCUAAAACGCCCUUCCUUGAACAAGCUUCGGGGUCGACCCGUUAUCCAAUUAGGCCUCAAGGUAAGAAGGCUUCAAAGAGAAAAGGGAGUACUUUCAAGAAUGAUUAUGCAAAGUAUAUGGAAGAACUUGCUCGCCAAGGUGAAUUGACUUUGGCACUAGAAAUGGUGAAAUUUGAGGCUAAUAAGGCUAAAGAUGAGGCAAAAGCUGCAGUUGUUGAGAGAAAAUUUCAAGCUAAUGAAAGGGAAAAAGAGCUACUUAGGCAAGAAAGGGUACUGGUUAGAGAAGAAAGAAUGACUUAACGAGAUCGUGACAUCAUGAACACGCCUUUACAAGGGAAGUCUCCAAAUUCUAAAUAUUUUUGGAAGUCAGAGAAAGAGGAUGUGGUGCGAAGAAGGCGUGCAAGAGAAGCAAGAGUAAGAGGAUAUGGUCCUAGCACGACAAGAGCAAAUCAUCCUAGCACCACAAAUUGAUUAAGUGAUAAUGAAUAGAGUACUUUUUGUAAUCGGAGCCCAUAAUUUUCCAAUCACUUUGGGUUGUAAUUUAUUAUUUAUUGAAUAGUGUACUUUAUGUUGUUUCCAAUUUAUUGAAUUUAACACUUUAUUUAUAGUGAGAGUAAAUUUAUUUAAUUUGGUAAGUUAUUUAUACUAUAUAAGAGAAUAUUUAUUCAAAUGACAAAAACACACCAAAUAAAAUUACAUAAACAUACCAAAUAAUUAAAAACUCACUAAAAAUGAACUAAAAAAAAACACACCAAAUAAUUAAAAAUGAACUAAAAAUGAACUAAAAAAACACACCAAAUAAAAUUAAAUAAACACACCAAAUAAAAACAAAUACACUAGAUGAACUUAUUUAUCUUCAACUUGUUUCAAUGCCCACUGGUGCUCUAUCAAGUCAUUUUGUCGGGCAUUGUGCAUAUAUGGCCUUUGAAGUGCAGUAUAUUGUUGAAUGACCAUUUCAUUGUAAUGUCCAUCCCUUUCUAAUGGCUCAUGUUGCAUGAAUUCUUCAAUGGCAUCAUGAGCAUAAUACAUACGUGUUCUUGACUUGUUCAUUGUGUUUGGCUCAUAUUCAUCAACGGCAUCAUAAUCGUACUCAUCCUCCACAAUCAUGUUGUGAAGAAUGAUGCACGUCAUCAUGAUGGAUCAAAGCGACUCUACAUCAAACAAUCUAGCAGCACCCCUGAUGAUCGCCCAAUGAGCUUGGAGGAUACCAAAACAACGCUCCACAUCCUUCAUGCACCCCUCUUGAUAGCUUGCAAAGUGUUUUUCCUUUGCACUUCGCAGACGUGGCACUAUUUUGGAAAAUGUUGACCACCUUGGGUAAAUGCCAUCUGCUAGGUAGUAUGGCCCAUCGUACAUACGUUCGUUGACGCAGUACGUGACUUUUGGUGCCUUUCCUUGCAGGACAUCGUUGAACACUAGGGUUUGGGCAAUGAUGUUGAGGUCAUUUUGAGGAUGGAUGAUGGAUUAUAUGGAUGAUUCAGAGGAUGGAUUAUAGGUGUGAGAUUUCAGAGGAUGGAUGAUGGAUUAUAUGGAGGAUUCAGAAAUGAUUAGGUUGUAGAUAGUGUCACGUGGCAUGCCAUCAUUCGUUAAAAAUAUGAUCGAAAUCUAUCUUAAAAGAUUUUGAAAAAGGUAAGGACAUGUGGCACGACGAGAUUGGAUAAAAAUCUUAUCGAAAUCCAUCAUCAAUAAUUGUCUUUUCGGGUAAUGACACGUGGCGCAACGAGAACGAUUAAAAAUCUAAUCGAAAUCUAUCCUCAAAGAUUCUAAAAAGGUAAGAACACAUGACAUGACGACAUUGGAUAAAAAUCUUAUCGAAAUCCAUCACAAAUAAUUGUCUUUUCGAAUAAUGACACGUGAUGCAACGAGAAUGAUUAAAAAUCUUAUUCGAAAUUACAAAUAAAAAAUUAUUUUGUAUUAUUUAAAAAAAAAUAUUUUAUUGCCUAUUGCCAGGGCUAUUCAAGUGCAACGGUGGAGAUGUAAAAAACAGUUACUGUUCAUUAAGGGCGGUUACUGUUCACAUGGUGGAUUGAAAAGUGAAUAGCCUGGGGGGAGGGCUCCCACGCUGGAGUUGCUCUUAUAGUGUUAUGUAUGGACAAUCAUACACUAUAAUUUCCAUUCCUACACGCAAGAGCACAAGCUGGCGGCAGGCUAGCUAACUGAGUACGUAACUCUGAGUAACGUUGUAUUAACCAUAUUUUUUCAGUAUUCGGAUUCUCGCCUGAUCCUCAUUGUGAUAUUCUUGAAAUCUGUUAAUUGCGUUUGUUUAUCGUAUAUAGUCCGAUCAAAAAUCAUUUUAAAUAUUUUAUUUAAAAUUAAGCACAAACAGUACCUGAUAAAAAUUGACCGCAUGAUGUACGAUGAAUGAUUACGAUUUACGGAUCCCCAGGAUCCUCACCAAAAGGAUCUAGCGAGGAUCCUGUUGGAUUUUUUCAUACUAUAUUUGCAUCGUAUUUAUAAUAGAGUAGGAGCCACCAACAUAUGUGGGUUCCAUCUCUAUUAGAAAGAUGUUACAAACAUGGUAAAAUAAGGAAAACUAAUGAAAAAAGCUUGAAAAUUUUAAGUUUUAACGAUAAAGACAAAAUAAAGGGUAAAGUAAAUAGUAUCAUAAUUGACUUUUUAGUGUAAAAAUAUGGUUUUUUUUUUAUUAAAGUAAACAAUACCGGGAGCUUUUCGUUAAAGUUUCUUAAAAAAUAUGAUAAGAGUAACAUUUUUGCAUUCAAAGUGUUGAUUUAAGAAAUUGAUGAAUUUUUCAGCUAUGAAAAGAAAUUUAAUAUGCAAAUUUUUUUGACAGUAGGCUUUUUCAUAGUACCAAUGACAUUGAAUGAAUCGUUAACCGGAAAAUUAAGAAAAUAAAAUAUAAUAUACGAGCGUAUGGUUUCAUUUUUAAUAAACACCGAUACAUUUUGUCAUAAAAUUCAAUACCUAGCAAUAAUUGAUUAAGUUAGGAAAAUAUCGGUAUAGUUAGGAGAGGUUCAUAUAUAUAUAUAUAUAUAUAUAUAUAGAGAGAGAGAGAGAGAGAGAGAGAGAGAGAGAGAGAGAGAGAGAGAGAGAGAGAGAGAGAGAGAGUUCUCAAAUUCCUUGCGAGAUUAUAUUCAAGAACUCUGGCUAAUACAAAUUCCUUGUGUCAUCCUCAGCUGAAUCAAAUGAAUACAUUGUCUCUUCUAAAGGAAGAAAUACAGUAAGAACCAAAUAAUAGUGUUACAGAACAAACUAAACAAUUAAUCUAUGACAUUACGCUGAAGACUAAGAAUACAUAUCCAUCAUCUUUUCGUUACAGUACCACAUAUCCGAAUCACUUCUAUCAAAUCUAUUUGAAUAGUUUAUCUUAUUAAAAAUUGCUAAAGAUGAGUUCAUAGGGUGUAUGGCUUCGUAGCAUAAUAUCUACUUUUUUCUUUGACAUAUAGGUCACACUUUCCCAUUCCACAUGAAACUGUUGUGUCAAUUCAAAUUUACCACAACAUUAAUGCUUGUUUCCAUAGCUGCAAAAGAAGUGUUUGAAAUGAAAAUAUGAGUUGAAGUGUAAAUUGUUUGUAGUAUUUAAAAUACAUACAUACAUUGCCAAAAAGUAAGAAAAAAAAAAGUCAUAUCCAAUUAGAUUGACCAGAAGCUCAAUCAAAGAUAAUAUCAAAUAUAAAACCCGUUACUUUGCAUUUCGUUGACAUUUGGAGUUGUUUAAAUUAGUUUUUGUUACCAAAAUCUAAACAAUAGAAAGAAGAACCUCUUCGAAGAAGAAUUUACAGUAACUACAACUAUAAUGCUUUUGUCUACAAUAAUAUUAACACAAUAAAUAAAAAAGAGUUCUCAAAUGUACAUAAUCUUUACUCUGUUUUUUCAAAUUCUAAAGCAUGAUAUGGUAUCUACCAAAUGGAAAUAAUAAAGGGAAGAAGAACCUUAAGAGUAUAUGAAUGGACAAUCUUUUCCUAUAUGGAGGAGGAAUUAAACUCAAUUAACCGAAAGGAAAAAAAAAACAAAAGCUAAAAGUGGAUGAUCCUGCAAUUGAAAAACCCAAAUGUGCAGUAAAAACAACCAAGAGAAAACAGAAGCUAAAAGAAAUCACAUUAAAAAAAAAUCAAUUGAAAUGAAGCAAUCACACUUGAUCGACCAUAAAGUGACGUACAAAUGCCAAUUGCCAAUUGCCAAAAAAAAUAAGAAACCAUUUUGAAAUUAAGCAGACAUUGUUGUAAUAAGAAAAAACCUCAAAUGUGCAGUAUAAUUGAAAUUAACUCCAUUUGGAGGGAAUUAAAGAAUGCUAGAACCACAAUAACUUCAUAUUACAUUAAACAUUUUGGCUAAUAUGUUAUAAGCACAACCAACUCAUCCAUAUUAAGAAGCCAACAAAAAUAGAAACCAACUUGUGAACGAAAGGAAAGAUGUGAACAGAAAAUAAAUUCAACAAAACUGGAAAAAUGAAGAGAAGAAAUUCCACUUAAGAAAGGUGGUCAGGGAAAAAAACAAAAAUGAAUCAAAAGUAGAAGAAAUUCCACGACCGACCUGCGUAUUUAUCCUAUACAACAGUCGUUGUCAAACUCUUCAGUCGAAGCUCUACACAUUGCUUAUAUCUGUGAGCAAGAUUUUAAAAAACGUUAGGUACUAGUCGGGCGGCGGGCUAGCGCCUAGCGCCUAAGCAGUUAGACGGGGUCUAGGAGAGCACAUAGGUGGAUUUAGGUAAAUUUCAUGUAUAUCUUGUAGACAAGUGCAUAUUAACACUUACAAAAAAUUAUACUUGUAUAUUAUACUUGUAUGAAAUCAAUGGAUAAGAUGAUAAAAGAAUAAUAAAAUGCAAAAAGAGUAUCCAACAAGUUCAAAAUUUAAAAACACAUUAAGCAUAUAUGCCACAUAAUCAUUGUGAGGAGUAUUGUAGAAUGACACAUGUACAAUAAGUUCAUAAUUUAAAACCACAUAAAAUGCAAAAUAGGAGGAAAAUAAGGAAAUAUAGUAAUGUAGAUAGAUAAGAUUUUUUUUUAUUUUUUAAUUUCAAAAAAAAAAAAAACUGCCUAGCCACCUAGCAUCACCUAGCCCGCCUAAAGCCCAACCGAUUUUUCCAACCGAUUUGCAAGAAAACGCCUCGGGUCACCACCGGCUAGCGCCGUUUUUAGAACAUUGUCUGUGAGAUGAAUACGACAAACAUUUGAGGUUGAAUUAGUGAAUUUCAAAUACACUGGAAAAGAGAAUGCAAACCACAUCUUGAUGAACAAAAUUAGAGAAAAUGGCGAAUAAAAAACAGAAAGGGAAAUCGAUUAGGUACUCAUAAUUAAAGAAAGAUUAGAAAUUUCAUUAAAAUAAAAAGAAGAAUUGAAAGCAAAAUCAAAUGUAGAAGAAAAUUCCAUUAAUUGAUACAACAUUCACGAUUUGUCCAGAUUCUUACAGCCUUACAUGAAGCUUUGCACUGUGCAAUUUUUUUACCUGAAGCAGCAAAAGGCCCACUCCUCACAUCAUGAUCUGCCACAAUUUAAAGAAGUCGAAGUAGUAGAAAGUCUUUGGCAUAACAAAACUGAAAGCAUAAAGCAUAAACCCAAUAAGAGUCAUAAACUAAUGAAGAAAGAAUUUGAAAAUUUUCAUACUACUAACCCUGUUAAAGGAAAGUAUAUUUGGUUAAACAUGAUUGUAGGGAUUGUAAAUAGUCAAUGAUCUGGUUAGAGCUAUCAUAGGACCAGAUUGCAAUCAACUUGUAAUUAGAGAUUGGUUACCUAGAAUAGGCUGCAUCUGACUGUAUAAAGCUUGUAUCCUUGUAUGAAUGAAUAUACUGAAAAAUAAACCAUUCAGCAAACACUUCAAUUUUCACAUGGCAUCAAAGCACCGAUCCUGGUGACUCUAGGCGUCCAUUCCACUUCCGCUACAAACACAGCCCAAAAUUUUCCCAACACACACAACCAACAUGGCUGAUGAAAAACCAGCAGAGAUAGUGCCACAUGCAUCCGACCCUCUCAUCCUACACCACUCAGAUUCACCAAGUCUCGUCUUGGUUUCACAACUCCUCGACGGACACAACUACGGACAAUGGAGCCGCUCUAUGCGCAUCGCUCUCAGUGCCAAGAACAAACUUGGGUUCAUUGAUGGAUCAAUCAAGUGCCUUGCAAUUACCGACGCCAAAUUUUCAAUUUGGCAGAGAUGCAACGACAUGGUCUUGUCAUGGAUUUGGUAGUCUGUGCAAGGCAACAUCGGACGCAGCAUACUCUACUGCAAAUCUGCAUCUGCAACGUGGAAGGAUCUUGAGGAUUGAUUAUCGCAAGGAAACGAUUCCAGGAUCUACCAAAUUCGACAGGAAAUCGUCGAACACCGACAAGGACAACCAUCCGUUUGAGACUAUUACACCCAGUUAAGGGCUUUUUGGGAUGAAUUGGCUUCGUAUUAUGAACCAAUUGCUUGCGAUUGUGAGGGAUCCAAGACUCGUGUAGCAAGGGAGGAAACAGAGAAAGUCAUGCAAUUUUUAAUGGGCUUGAACGAGACUUACUCAACCAUACGAGGCUCCAUCUUAAUGAUGAAUCUGCUCCCUAAUACGAGACGUGUCUAUAGGUUGGUUCUGCAACACGAGCGCCAAAUGGAUGUGGCAAAUCAUCAUGAACCUGCUGCCCACGUGAUGCAUACACAUCGGUCCACCACGCCAAAGGGAGGAUCUGCACCUGGUAGUUCCAGUUCACGCAAAGCAUCCAAAUGCAGCUACUGUGAUGGCUCACAUUCCGAGGAGCACUGCUACUUUCUUAUUGGGUUCCCCGAAGGACAUAAGUGGCAUGGGAAACAUGUACUGCCCAGAAACAAACGCCAAAAUCCGACAGCCCACAAUGUCGAAACACCUCAAUCACAAACCACCCAUACAGACGCAACCAAGGCCACAUCUUCCAAUGGCCCAACGUUCACAACCGAAGAGUACCAUCAACUUCUUACCUUGCUUCGCUCUGGAAACGGUAAAAUUACACCACUUGCGAAUGCAACAGGUAUUGUCACACCCAUAUGUAAUAUGACGGAACAUGACUUGCAUUCAACCCUUUACUGGAUUAUAGACAGCGGGGCAUCUGAUCACAUAUCACAUUCACCAUUAACACAUAAUCAGAUUGAUGUUGAAAAUGAUUUUGUGGGAUUACCAAAUGGGGGAACAGCAGACAUUAAGAGCAUUGGAUCCGUAAAACUAUCACAUGAGUUAUUACUUGAUGGAGUUCUACAUGUUCCAAUAUUCCGUGUCAAUUUAUUGUCUGUGAGUAAACUCACACGGGCUCUACAAUGUAUCGUAAUAUUCUUUCCGGAUUUUUAUGUUAUACAGGACAUGGAUACGAAGAGGACGAUUAGCUUAGGCAAGCAAUUUAAUGGGCUCUAUUACCUUACGCCAAGUCAAAAUCCCCAUCUUACCAACCAUGUUAGCCGCACCACCAGUCUCUGGCAUCAACGCUUGGGCUACCCCUCUACACACCCUUUACAUUUUUUGUCAAAAACAUUCCAGAAAUAAUGUUCGAUUCCAAACAUGUUUGUGAAGUUUGCCAUUUGGCAAAACAAACUCGAUUGUCUUUUACUUCUAGUUCAAUUCAAUCCACUGCACCUUUCGACUUAAUUCAUUGUGACAUUUGGGGGCCUCACAAAGUUCCCACACAUUCCGGGACACGUUAUUUUCUCACCAUCGUGGAUGAUUUACUCAUUUUACAUGGGUGCAUCUUAUGCGUUUUAAAUCCGAUACACAAACACUAUUGACAUCAUUCUUCUCUUGGGUCAAAACUCAAUUUCACAAAAACAUCAAAAUUCUACGAGCUGACAAUGGUGGAGAGUUCCUCUCCAUGCGCACUGUUUUAGACACCCAUGGCACCAUUUUUCAGCAUUCAUGCGUUCACACCCCUCAACAAAACGGGGUUGUUGAACGUAAACAUCGACAUCUUUUGAAUAUUGGGGGUGCACUUCGUUUCCAAGCCAAUUUACCAUUAAAAUUUUGGGGAGAUAGUGUUCAAACCGCAUGCUAUCUCAUCAACCACAUUCCCACACCAUUAUUAUCCCAUAAAUCUCCCUACGAAUUUUUACAUGGUCACUUGCCCAAUUACUCUCACCUUCGCGUGUUCAGAUGUCUUUGUUAUGCCACCAACCUUCACCCAAAACACAAGUUUGACACUCGUGCUCGCCGUUGUCUUUUCCUUGGAUAUCCUCUUGGUCAGAAAGGUUAUCGUGUUUAUGACCUCGACACGCAUACCAUCUCCACUUCCCGUGAUGUCCACUUCCAUGAAACAAUUUUUCACUUUGCCCAUUCACCACCUGAACAUGAGGAUGACUCCCUCGUUCUUCCACUUAUUUUUCCAGACUCAUUACCCACUCUGCCCAGUACACCAUCUCCCGACCCACACCAUCCUAGCCCAAACCCAGAUGCCUUGAACCACAACACUACCCAACCUCCCACUUUCCCAUCCCCAAUUCCCGACAACACUCCCCAAUUCCAGACAACUUUCCCAUCCCCACCAGAGACCGCUCCGAUCUCACCCACUACUGCCACCCAUUCUCUCGCCUUACCUGACCCCCCACCUGCACCGUCUCCACAACCUCCCAUUCGACACUCUUCUCGCCUGACCCGACCCCAUGCCUAUCUCAAAGAUUAUGUGGCCCAUCAUGCUGCUUUGUUUGCGCCUGGCGUCGCCUCUUCCUCCGUGUCCAGCACCCGUCAUCCAUUCCACCGGUAUGUCUUUUAUGCCUCCUUAUCUCCUACUCAUCAAACUUUCAUCCAUAAUGUUUCUUCUCAGAUGGAACCCACAUCCUAUGACCAAGCCCGCCAUGACCCUAACUGGGUCGCUGCUAUGAACACUGAACUCCGAGCUCUCGAAGACAAUCAGAUAUGGAGCAUGGUCUCUUUGCCUGCUGGUCAUCAUGCCAUUGGAUGCAAGUGGGUUUUCAAAAUCAAAUACAAUUCGGAUGGUACAAUUGAGCGGUACAAAGCCCGACUCGUUACCAAUGGUUUUACUCAACGCGAGGGGAUCGAUUACAAGGAAACUUUUGCCCCUGUUGCUAAGCUGAUCACUGUGCGAUGCUUAUUGACUGUUGCUGCUGUUCGUCAUUGGUCCUUACAUCAGAUGGAUGUGCAGAACGCAUUCCUUCGCGAUGAACUUCACAAAGAAGUGUAUAUGUUGCCUCCUCCUGGUUACCGUUGAUAGGGGGAGCGUGUUGUAUGUCAACUCCAAAAGUCUUUGUACGGACUUAAGCAAGCGUCCCGCAGUUGGUUUCAGAAAUUUUCCUCUGCCAUCCAUGACAUUGGAUUCACACAAUCUCGGGCUGAUUAUUCCUUGUUUACCAAGGUCUCUGGCAGCUCCAUUACCAUUGUUUUAUUAUAUGUUGAUGACAUGGUUAUUACAGGAAAUAAUGAUAGAGCAAUCAAUGAUCUCAAGCAAUUCCUUAGCCGCUGCUUUCGAAUUAAAGACCUUGGACCCCUAAAGUACUUUCUUGGAGUUGAAGUCGCACGGUCCAAAGCUAGCAUUACCAUCAAUCAGCGCAAGUACACACUUGACAUACUGGAAAAGGCGGGUUUACUUGGUGCGAAGCCAUCACAGGUCCCAAUGGAACCUGACUUAGUGCUACAACCCACUGGUAGUGAUCCUCUCAAAGAUCCUACGCAAUACCGACGAAUGUUUGGGAAAUUAAUAUACUUGACAAUCACAAGACCGGAGAUCAUAUAUGCGGUCAACACCCUGAGUCAAUUUAUGCAGGAACCUAGGCGACAUCAUCUUGACGCAGCACAUAGACUUCUUCGAUACCUUAAAAAUGCUCCUGGACAAGGUUUGUUGUUUUCUUCUCAAAGUAAGCUAAACUUGAUUGGCUAUUGUGAUGCGGAUUAGGCACGUUGUCCGAUUACUCGCCGUUCAGUUACAGAUUAUUGCAUUUUUCUGGGCAACUCACUCAUAUCUUGGAAGAGCAAGAAACAGGUCACGGUAGCACGAUCAUCUGCCGAAGCAGAGUACCGUUCCAUGGCUGCAGCAACUUGUGAACUCACGUGGUUGAGAUACUUAUUGAAGGAUUUGCAAAUACCCCAUCCUGGUUCGGCGAAGCUGUUUUGUGAUAAUCAAGCUGCGUUACACGUAGCAGUGAAUCAUGUGAUCCACGAGCACACCAAACACAUUGAGCUUGAUUGCCACACCAUUCGUGAGAGGAUUCAAAGAGGAGAAAUCAAGACAGCCUAUGUACACACUGGGGAACAAGUGGCUGACAUGUUUACUAAGCCACUAUGAACACCUGCUUUCCAUUUACAUCUCCGCAAGUUAGGCGUUCUUGACAUCCACACUCCAACUUGAGGGAGAGUGUUAAAGGAAAGUAUAUUUGGUUAAACAUGAUUGUAGGGAUUGUAAAUAGUCAAUGAUCUGGUUAGAGCUAUCAUAGGACCAGAUUGCAAUCAACUUGUAAUUAGAGAUUGGUUACCUAGAAUAGGCUGCAUCUGACUGUAUAAAGCUUGUAUCCUUGUAUGAAUGAAUAUACUGAAAAAUAAACCAUUCAGCGAACACUUCAAUUUUCACACUACAAUAUUGUCUCGCCCAGACAACACACAUCACAUCUAUCUCCACCGCCUGCACCGGUACCAAUGAUUUGAAACCUAAUGGAAAAAGCACGACAAAUAAUUGGAAAAUGGAUUAAUAUAAACAAAAACUCCCCAGAACCAACAGUUUCCUUGUAAGCAUAAGAACCUCACCAACGGGCUUCAUUGGAAUGUAACGAAUGCAGAGGGAAACAUAAAAACACUUACAUGGAGAAGAAACAAAUCCAAGUUUUUCACUCAAAAGAAAAUAACCAACAAUCAUACAUGAAAAUAGAAGGAAAAAUGAAUUUGGUUAAGGGUGGACAACAUCUGGAAAAGAAUGCAAAGAUCAUGGAGAAUCCGAGAUUGAAAAUUACCUGCGAUAAGAAUCAGUCAAUGUAGAGGAAGAGUCUUUGUCAAUAUAUCUAUCUGUCUGUUUCUCCCUCCCCCUCGUUGUCUUCUCCUUGAUUUCUGCACGACUACAAAUAAACUGCCAACAUUAAUAUGAAACUAAACUUACCCAAUGAAAUUUGAACACAAUGGAUUACUUCUCCAGUAAAGUUCAUUUCCAAUUCCUACUGCUUUGAGAGGAUUUUUCUAAAAAUUUGGAAUCUCUAAUAACUGAAGAAUCGCACUAUGCAAAACCCAAGUCGUUUAUUAGGACGAAGAAUCGCAAAAGCCCCGGAAUUUGAAAUCUCAUACUUCAUUUGUGGUUUUUUCUAAUUGAAAACCCAACAAUAAUAAUCCAAUCGAAAUUGAUUGUAAAGACAAAAAGCGAAGGAAUUUAGGAAAAAACACCUGAAAUCUUGUCAAAAUCAAGUGUGGAUGUCGACAGAAAUUUGGAAUAACAUGAAGAGGGGUCUGUGCGGAAGACGAAAGUGGGUUCGUUUCUUCCGAUGUAUGACAUGUUGUUCACUGUAGAACGUGUAGUAGAUGGCGGUUCCAUUCCAUCUCCUCUGGUGUUUACAACCGCUGCGGUUAGAUAUGGUGUUCGAGAGUUCUACCGAGUUUUUAUUUAUUUUUUAUUUUUUAUUUUACGUUUAUUUCUCUCGGAAAGAUAGGACACAAUGUAGUAUUUGUGGGAGGAUUAAUCCAAGGGUCAAAAUGAAUUUGAAGUGCAAGUAUUUUCAUCCGUCGGUUGUCAAUUGUUAUAGUUAAGAUGGGUGUUUUUUAAAUUUGCUUUUUUUAGUAAAACAAUUUUGUACUCUGUUAUGUUUUUUUCCAGUUUAUCCUCAUUUUUUGAAAUGUUUUGGGCUUGGUUGUGAAGAAAACAAAGGGGCUUUCUUGGCAUUUUGAAAUGCUUCACCUAUUUGGCCUUCUCCCUUUAUAUACACUAGCCUCUCCGCAUGUACUAACGUGCGUGCAAGAGGCAUUUUUACAUUACAGGCGCUACGCAUCCCUAAAGGUGUAUUGCGUUAGUUUUUCCCAUCGUAAUUGUCAAGAUAUAUUUUAAAUGUAUUAUGCAAAGAGAAACUCUUUUUUUUAUCAUGCAUAUUCUAAAAAGAGUAAUAUAUGUAACUCGUUUUUACUUUGCGUAAAGUAAUGAUUUAAAUGUUAUUCAUGCACUUGUCAAACAACAUGGGAUUUUAGACGCAAGUUCCUACCUAAAGUAGAAGUAAAUAAAAAAAAGAGUAGAUGAAAACAUUAAGUACUCGUAGCAAAAUACAAAACAACUUAAAUGUCAAAAUAUAAAUCCUGCAUAACAAUAUGUACAUUAUUCACAAUACCCAUAGAGUCUAUAUAUCACUGUUUCUUUUGAAAAGAAAGUUUACAUUUUGAUAUCAAUGCUACAAUUUCCACACAUUUGUUCAUGAUUGAUGCUUCAAAUUUUCAUUGCCAAUCUACAAAUGAUAGUGAGAAAAUUAAAAAUCAAAUAAAAAAAGUUAAUUGAUAAGUGAGAAAUGCAUAUUGAAAGGUUAUCGUUAAUAAAGUUGUUACCUAUUAAAAAUCACCAUAAUUAGCUGGAAAGAAGCAAGACUUCUUUGUAUACUACAUUCUGUGUAAAUACACAUUGUUGGCCGAUUAUGGAGCCAUUUUUUACUAACAUGGUUGUGGUUGACUUUGAGACCCCCCUCGAUAAGGCCACAUAUCAUUGUUCAUGACUGAAGACGUGAUCUGGAAGGUAAACGCCUACAUGUGGUAUUGUCUGACCUUGAGAUUUGUUUAUAGUGAUAGAGAAACUUAGUUUCACUAGAAACUGCUUUCUUGUAAGUUCAAAUGGAAGCCCAGCAGUAUCAAUACUUUUGAGAGGGAUUCUUGAUAAGAAAACUCUGGAUCCGGCAAAUUGUCCAGUUAGAAUUUCAACAUCUAUAAGAUUUUGGUAAGAACCAUGACACAAUAAUCUUGUACCAUUACACAAUCCCAAUGAUUGUGUAAAAGCAUCAAAAGUUUUGUUAGUAACAUGAAUUGUAUGUGUUUUCUAAAACUCAGAUUUACGAAAAUUGAAAGAGAACGAAAAGUUAAAAUAUAAAUUAGUAAAAGAAAAACAUAUAUGAAACAAAACAGGUAAUCAUGGAGUUGAUGAUUCUAAAAAUGAAAGAAAUGAACCUGGAGAUGCAGAUGAAAACAUAUAAUCAUUCAGUUCAAAAUAUUACAAUUUUGAGUCAUCAAAGAAACAAAGUGAAAUAGCACAUUGCCAUUUCGGUUCUUUGAUUAAGUGUAAUAUUCGGCUUCUCAAGUAUCUUACAACUAAGCAAAAAAAAUGCGCUUCCUAGUUUCACAAACUAAAAUGCAUCUAAUAACUUAUCAUAAAGGAUGAAGUAGCAACCUGAUCAAAUAGAAUGAUCGGCAAAACUCGGGAUUGAAGAAUCUUUAAUUAUUUUGAAUACUUGGUGAAGUUCCUCCACAUGAACCCCAUGAAGAAAAACUACAGGCUGCAAGAUAAGAUUCAAACCAUAUUAUAUAAAAAAACCAGUAAAAAAUUCCCAACAUUUGACUCAAAAUUGAAAGGAAAAAAGAUGAAAUUCUAUGCAUUUAGCAGAUAAUUGAUAAAUCAAACUCUGCAACUGAAACGUUGACAAUGGCUUCAAAAUUAACUGAAUAUCUAAAACAACUUGUAAUCCUAAUUAUAUGGAAGAGGGUAGAGAAAAGCUAAGUGCUUCAACCCCAGGUUAUGAUGCUUUGCAGACAACUUACAUCAACCUUUGAAUUUCUUCCUCAAUUAGCUAGCUCUUGAAUGCACCAAUAACAUAUGCAAUUGGAACUUGGAUUACAUAGCUCUCAAUUCCAUUGACUUCAUCUAUUAAUUUUUAGAGGGUUACCUAUAGUUUUUUCAAUGACAAUGACAUGGUUUACGCAUGAACAUGGUUUUUUCUUAUUUGUUUAUCUAUUUCACACUUGAAUCAAUAAAAUUUUGCUAGUGCAAUCAUACGGCAUUCACAACGAUCAUACUAUUGAUUUGUAAUUUCUCUGAUAAUUACAUCCCCGAUCAAGCAGGCUAACUGUCAAGCGUAAUUAAAAAAGUAGCAACAGCCCUAAUAAAAAAAAUAAUUCAAACUCAUCAAACUAUCGAGUUACAUACCUUGCAUCGGAAUCUAGCGUAAAAUUUACCUUUCUAGCAAUAACGAAAUAACUCAGUUAUCAAAUGCAGGACACACUAAAAUGCAUCUAAUAACUUAUCAUAAAGGGUGAAGUAGCAACCUGAUCAAACAGAAUGAUCGGUAAAACUCGGGAUUGAAGAAUCUUUGAUUACUUUGAAUACUUGGUGAAGUUCCUCCUCCUGAACCCCAUGAAGAAAAACAACAGGCUGCAAGAUAAGAUUCAAAACAUAUUAAAUAAAAAACCAGUAAAAAAUUCCCAACCCAACACUGUUAUUAUGGUAAUUUCAACGCAAGCCGCCUUCUCUAGCAGAGUUCAUUUCCAAAUCCCUACGACUUCGAGAGGAUUUAAAAAUUUUGGAAUCUAUAUAAUGAAUAAGCUUGAAGAAAAGCUUCAAAUUUAUAAAAAAAAAACUUUGAAUUCGAACAAAAAAUGCAAAAACUAAGUCGUUUAUUAAGAAGAAGAAUCGCAACUCACAUGGCUGUGGGGAUUUCCAGACAGGUUCCAAUAGAUUGAGUGGAUAUUCGAAACCUUAAGAAACAGGAAACUGUACAGCUCAAUAGUCGGGUAAAGGCUAUGGUUCACCCUGAAAAAUCUUUCUUCGAUUCUAUCGAAUCGCUAGAUAGUUUGGGCUCGCUCUCAAAGGCCACACUUUGCCCGCGCAAAACUAAAUUCCAAAAUUCCUCUUCCCUGCAUUCAGAAACACAUCAUCAAUUAAUUAGAAUUGAAUAUGAACGCAAAUCUAAUUCUGCUUCAUCAAAGCAAAUAAUUCAUACACAAUUGAAAAAUGUGUAUAAAUGGGAAGAGAACGGAAAUUGAAAAUAUGAUCAGAAAUGAAUGAUCGAUGAGAAACAGUUAAUUAAUGGCAAUGAAUUUGAUUUGAAAAGAGACUAAUAAACAUACUGGUAAAGAAGCCGCACUUGUCGUUUAUGGCGAGUGAAAGGUUGUUUCAAGAAGCUGCAGUUGUUGAUCACGGCGAGUAGAGUCAAGUUUGAAAGUUUGAACAAACGUUGGAAGGAAUACAUAGAAAAUUGAGAAUCACGUUUGAAAGUUACCUGCGAUAAGAAUCAAUCGAUGUAGAGGAAGAGUCUUUGUCAAUAUGCAUCUUUAUUUCUCCCUCCCCUUGUUCUCUGUAGAGGAAGAGUCUUUGUCAAUCUGGUUUGUAGUUUGCAGAACGUGGAGGGUGGUUGAAUCCCACGUUGCGGUUCUAAUUCUUCAUUCGGCAAAACUCUACAGUUAUGAUGCUUUAUCUUUUUUCAGUGAUGGUUUUUUACCAGCUUGUCGUAUUAGUUUAACCAUCAGAAUUCAAUUCACACAUUACCCAUAUUUUCAAUGUACAAUCUGCUUACAAAUCAUUACCAAAUACAGUAAAACAGAAACUGGUAAUUGGGUAAUUUUAGUAACUCCUAUAAAUUCUGACCAAUUGCAGAAGUAAUUUUAUAGAAACCAAAUUCCCAGCUAUAGCCUCAAAUGUCUCUCAUUGCAUGCAGCUGACUACCACUGACUCAAAUCACAUAAAUAAAAGAAAUGGAAUCCAGAAAAACCCAUAUGACAACAAUUAAGUUUAAAUAAUAUAAGCAGUGUGGUCGAUUAAGCACUAAUCACUGAGCAAUUUUGAACGCCCAGCAGUCCCAUCCUACGCCAUCAAUGAUUCGAAUUUCCUUAUUAAAUUAUAUAGAAUAAUAAACAAAACAAACGGAAAAGCAAAUUCAUGUGGGUAAUAUUACUUAAUUGGAGGGUAGAAAUUAUGAAAAAAAAAAUCACCUGAAUUUGUGUAAAUUGAGUGUGGAUGCAGAAGAAACUCUGGAAAAACAUGCGGAUGAGAGGUUUGUGCAGAAGACGAAAGUGAGUUCUUCCUCUUUUCUGUGCAUUUGGGGUUAGAAUGAUCGUUGUCCCCUCUAGAACGUGUGGUAGAUUGGCGGUCCUAUCUUCGAUCUUUGCAACUGUUGCAACCGGUGUUCUGUUUUGUGCGACAACGUGUUUGACAGUUCUCCUCUAAUUUGGAGGGAGUGUUUGUCAGUUUUUAUCAAUUUACUUGUUAUUUUGGUUUUGGUGGAAAGAUAGAAUGUGAUGCAGUAUUUGUGGGAGGAUUGAUCUAAGGGUCACAAUGAAUUUCAAGUGUGUAUAUUUUUAUCUAAUGGUUGAAAAUUGUAAUUGUUUAGAUGAGUGCAUAUAUUAUUCGCACAGUAGAAUUUCAUUGUAUUAUAUUACAAUUUUGACUUUAUAUUUAUUGGACAGUUAUCCGUUACUCUUAAGUAUGGACUAAGGAUAUUUUUGGCAUUUUGAAUGUAUAGAUAGAUAGAUAAAGAUCAACGACUGGGUAAAAAUCAGGAAGUGCAUGUGCCCAUUGAAGCUUUUUCUUAUUUUCUUAGGUGAAAUGGAUUUUUUUUCCAGUUUUAUUAUCACAUAUAGGCCGUAUCUCGUAUUUUGUAGGUGAAAAAACUCAUUCUAUUUCAUUAUCCUACAUCACGUGUGAAAUGAGUUCAUUCCUACUUACAUGCGCACUCUUGCAUUUAGGCACUUUUAAGCUUAAAUUCAUUCAUAUUUUCCACCUCAUCACACUUUAUAGGUUCGUCACCUUUCAGAUGCUGGCCAGCACAGCUCGAUUUGGAGUCCAGAUAGACAUUCCGGGUCAGGGUGUGUCAAUUUGAAUAUUAAAAAAUAAGGAAUGUAUUUGAAUAUUU